UCUCUCUCUCUCUCUCUCUCUCUCUCUCUCUCUCUCUCUACUUGUGUGUGUUCUAAUGUCUGACAAAUUGUUUCAGUGCGUUCAUGGUUUGCUGUAACGAAAUUGAUUAUUUGCUUCCGUAAUUUAGUGAUUGUGUUCGUGUUUGUCAAGUAAAAAAACUGCAUCAUAGAGACAUUUUUGCUAAAAUUUAAAACAUGGGGAGUUUUUUAGCAAUUCGAUAUAACACAGGGGUACUAAAUGCAAUAAAAUUCUCUAUUUUUUAGGAUAAAAUACGAAAAUCCCUGAACUUAGGCUAAAUAACGAAAAACACCCCCACCUAUCCGUAAUUACCAAAAUCCCCAUCUGACUAACUGUCGACCGGGUAUUUUAAAAGAAAAUGUGUAUAGUAUGAUAUACCUUCUGUUAAAUAGGUAAGAAAUAAAAGAAAAUAUCCGAAAUUGUGUAAAGUCGAUUCCUUGAAAUAAAAAAGAUUUCAUGAAAAGUCACACUAACAUCAGGGGGUUUUGGUAAUUACGAAUAGGUAGAGGUGAUUUUCGUAAUUUAACCUAAGUUCAGGGUUUUUUUGUAAUUUACCCUUUUUUUAAUGGUACGCAGAAUUAUAAUGUGGAUGCUCAAAUGAAAUUAACUGCACACACAAUCUAAUGAAUAACUUAAUACUUAAUUCGGAUCGAUGUUUUGGCGUUUGAUUCAUCCGUUUAAUGAAUUCCGAUAGUUUAUGCAAUAGAAUUUCUCAUUUACGAACUUUAUCAAAGGAUUUAUUUAUGUGGUUAUAGCGUAUAUUCUUGAUAUACAGGAUCAAAGGGAAGUAGUAUUGCCACCUGCCGCAGAGGCGGCAGCCAAUGAGACUACAGCAUCUGCUACAAUCCACGGUAUCGAAAUUGCAGUUGACUUUAAACCGGUCGAACGGCCGAGUGAGCCACUUGACAACGACCAACCAAUCCUGUGUCCACUUCCAGAACCUUCUAUUCUUAACGUAAAUAACGUUUAUCCUUUUAAUCGCAUUGUGUGUCUUAAGCCAUAUAAUCCAAAGUCCGUUUUGACUCGAGAUUAAAAUGUGCUAACUUUGUCACCUUUAAUGGGGAAAAUAUACUUUUCAUCCCUCAACUUUGCACUGAUUUCACAUUUGGUCCCUCAUGUUUAGAAAAAACAUAUUUGGUCCCUCAUAUUUCAAAAAUUCAACACUUUUAAGUCAUUUCCGUCAAUUUUCCGUUAUUACUAAGAGAAUCAAGUGUGUGCCAGUCACUGCGAGUUAGUAAAAUGACGGAAAUGACCAUAAGUGUUAAAUUAUUGAAACAUGAGAGGGACCGAAUGUGUGUUUUGUGAACAUGGGACACCAAAUGUGAAAUUGGUGCAAACUUGAGGGAUGAAAAGUGUAAUUUUCCCCACCUUUAAUAUUUGUUUGAUGAAAUAUUAGGAUGGACGAAUAUGGAAGGAGAGAGUGUCGUCCGGAGCGCAGAGACUAGCUGAUGUGGCGGUGACAUCAUCGGUGGGGCCCGAUGGUACUGCUUCGAGGAAAAGUAGGCCUCCUUCUAACCGCGUUAUUCUGCCAUCUGUCAGUGCACCGGAGCGUAAUAUACUCAAACUGCUCGAUGAGUGUAAUGCUUCUGGUAUUUAACAAACUUACCGAAACUGAUUAAUAUAGAUUUUUUUUUUCUUUUCUUUUUUGCUCUAUGAAUAAAAGGCUUGAAAACAUUGUUCUGUUAAUCUGUGUUUAUAUGUUCAUCUCAAAAUUCAGCAUAGAUUAAUUUUAGUCUUUAAUGAACGAACUCGAAUCGAAUACCGAGUAGUUUGAUUUGAUUUGCAACUGUAGCCUUAAACUUUGCAGAGCAUUUUCUUAUAAUUUUGAAGAGUCUUUGCCCCACUUACUUUGGUCGUUUUUGCCCUUUGCCUCCCAAACCAAAAAAAAUUGCACUAUUCAUACCUGAGCUUACUAAUUUGUUGCACCGACAACUAAAAAGUCUAUUUUUGACAAAAAAACUACCGGAAUUGCACCUGUGCAACUCACACGUGAGAAUGGAUGGGCAAAUUCGCCAAUUCACAAGGUUUUUAGUAAAAAGAAAAAAAAAAAGAAGAAAGAAAAAGAAGAAAGAAAAAAGAAAAGGGAUCGCGUCUAAAGUAGAAGCGGACACACCAAAGACGUCGCCCACCUUGGACGCGAAUACAAUGUACUGCGCGCCCAACAUGUGCGCGCUGUUUGCUGCGUUUGCUGUGUUUGCUUCCAGGCUGUCCGCCCUCUGCGUAAAGUUGGCGAAUUGUUUGACAAAAAUAAAUUAAAAUCUUACCUUGAUUUGUUGAGAGAGAAUAUUCGAUGUUUGGUUAAUUCACGAAACAUUAUUUUUCAUUUAUCAAUCGUGCUUCAGUAGAUCAUCUUUUUAUUCAGACAAAACAAAUUUAGUAUUUAAUGAUACCUAAUCAUUUGACUUACCAGCCUUGUACAAUAAUUUAUGUCCAACAUGCAAUAUUCUUAAAUAAGAACCAACCUAUACAUACUAUUCCCUUGAAUUUGUUGGCAAUUUCUCUUAUAAUUUACAUGCUCUGCAUAGCUCUACCUUCUCAUCAAACCUACUUUCUCAUAUUCCAUAAGAAAGAAAAAAAGAAAAAAAAAAGUCAAAGUUGUUCUGCAUUUCAAUCAGUUGAGAAAUGGCAGAGGCGUUGGUUCAAGUAGUUCUUGAAAUCUGAGCUCACUGAUCCAAGAUGAGUUUGGAUUGAUUACGGGUGUCGGUGAUGAGAUGAAGAAGCUCUCGAGCACACUCACCACCAUUCAAUCCGUGCUCGAAGAUGCCGAGACGAAGCAACUUCAAAGCAGAGCCAUUCAGAAUUGGCUACUCAAGCUCCAUGACCUUAUCUACGAGAUUGACGACGUAUUGGAUGAGUGUGCUACACAAUUCUCUAUAUCGAAGCACAGAAACAGCAAAUUAAAUCGCUAUAGCUUGAAGACAAUUCUCUUCCGGCGCAAAAUCGGGACAAGGAUGAAGCAGGUCACGGAGAAACUGGAUGCGGUUGCUGCAGAGCGUUCGAAGUUCCAUUUGCGCGAGAUGUCUGUCGACAGGCCGAUCGAGUUUGCUGCCACACGUGAGACUGGUUCGAUAUUGAAUGUGUCUCGUGUUGUUUACGGCAGGGAAGAAGAUGCCGAGAAGAUUGUUGGCAUCUUGGUCAACCAGGUCAACGGCAAUGAAGAAGUCUCGGUUCUUCCUAUAGUUGGUGUUGGAGGCCUUGGAAAGACCACACUUGCUCAAUUAGUCUUCAAAGAUCAACGCGUCGUUGACCAUUUCGAUAAAAGAAUAUGGGUUUGUGUCUCCGACAAUUUUGAUCAGAAGAGGUUGUUGAAGGCGAUGAUUGAAUCUGUUGAAGAAGAUGACCCGGAGAAAAACACGAGAAACACAGAUUUGGUGGAAAUGCAUACCCUACAGCACCGCCUCUUGAAAUUACUCAACAACAAAAAAUACUUGCUUGUAUUGGAUGACGUUUGGAACGAGGAUCCAGGCGAGUGGGAUAAAUUGAAAAACGUUGUGGCAUGUGGCUCAACCGGGAGUUCAAUUAUCGUUACCACACGCCUCCAAAAGAUUGCUGAUAUGAUGAUAACACGUUCCGUUGUUUCAGCACAUGACUUGAUGGGGUUGUCGGAAGAGAAUUGCUGGAUGUUGAUGCGUGAACAAGCAUUCGGAGAGACGGAAGAUGAAUAUCCAAACCUGGAAGCCAUCGGGAAGCAGAUUGCGAACAAGUGUGCCGGUGUUCCUCUGGCUGCUAAGACGCUCGGAGGUGUGUUGCGGUUGAUGAGGACAGAGAAAGAGUGGAAUUAUGUGAAAGAAAGUGAAAUAUGGGAAUUGCCUCAGACAGAAACUUCGAUACUGCCAGCUUUGAAACUGAGUUACCAUCAUCUCACUUUUGAAUUGAGACGGUGCUUCGCUUAUUGUGCAAUCUUUCCCAAGGAUUCUAAGAUUUCGAAAAAAGAACUGAUCUUUAUGUGGAUGGCGCAUGGAUAUAUUUCAUCAAAGCGUGUACUUGAAAUGGAGGAUGUCGGCAAUCAAAUAUGCGAUGAGCUAGUUCGGAGAUCCCUUUUGCAGUAUGUUAUACAUCCUGAUACAAACGAACCAACUCUCGUUAUGCACGAUCUUAUUCACGAUCUCGCCCAAUCAAUCAUGGAGAGCAAAAUUCCUGGAACACAAGCCCAAAGCACAAACUUCAGUAGUGCAUCGUCUACCAGCAAAAUCCGCCAGGUGAAUUUGCGGGAAAAGUCCGUUGCCUUCCCUAAGAGUAAUCAACCAGAGAUGGACAUUUCUUUCAUCUUAAAGAAUUUCUCUUGUUUGAGAGUACUCGAUGCGGGUAUGACAGGGAUACAAAGUUUGCCUUCUACAAUACGCGAGCUCAAGCACGUUCGACACUUGAAUUUGUCCGGAACUAAAAUCCGCACACUGCCCGAGUCAUUGUGCGGUCUGUGGAAUUUGCAAGUUUUGAAUUUGGACGACUGCCAAGAGCUCGUGGCUUUGCCGAAGAAGUUGAGGUACCUGAUCAAUCUCCGCCAUCUAUUUUUGGUAAAAUGCUACUCGCUGAAGGAGACGCCUUCUAGAAUCGGAGAACUUAAACGACUCAAAUCACUGGGUCAGUUCAUUGUGGGGCAUCGCAAAGGCUAUCACCUCGAGGAGUUGCAACACUUGGACAUUGGGGGCAGGAUUACAAUUCGCCAUCUGGAGCGAGUCGAGAACCCUAUGGAUGCAAAGAAGGCAAAUCUUGCCGAGAAAAAGAACCUCGUUCAUUUGAAGUUGUUCUGGAAAACUGACCGUACUCCGUCAAAAUCAUCGGAGGAAGAAGCGAGAGAUGAAAAUGUGUUGGAAGGGCUCGAACCUCACCCGAAUCUCGAAAUUUUAGAGAUAAAAGGAUUCUGGGGAAGCCAUUUUCCAGCGUGGAUGUCGAAUUCAACCGUGGACAAGGUAGUCAAAAUUGACAUAUCGUUUUGUCAAAACUGCUUGCGCCUUCCUCAACUCGGAAAGCUACCUCACCUUAAAUCAUUGAGGUUAGAGGAUCUGGCGGCGGUGGAGUACAUUAGCGAGGAAAAUCAACCACCUCACAGUGGAUUAAUAAGCCUGGUACAUUUCCCAUCUCUGGAAACACUUGAAUUGUCGUGUCUCCCGAAUCUCAAAGGGUUGUUGAGAGAGGAGCAAGUGACGAGACCGGUCGAAGCAUUCCCAAAUCUUCAAAGGCUAACGAUCGAUAAAUGCUCUUCGUUUAAACUGCCACCACUCAAGAAAUUGGAGAGAUUGGAUUGCAGUAGCUCAACUCUGGCUUCACUGUCCAAGACGGUCCUCAAAACUCUCACUCAUCUUUGCGUGGACUUUGAGGAGAAUACGACGACAUGCAAUAUCUCGAUAGAGACGUUUGCAAACCUCGGCAAUCUCAAGGAACUAAGAGUUUCUAAAGCGCGUGAUACGUCUCUUCUGCCAGAACAAGGUAUGCGGUCGUUGAAAUGUCUUUCGCGUUUAUGGAUAAGUGAAUGUGAGACGGUGACGUGUCUGCCUGAGGAAUGGCUGCCGCACCUCACCGCUCUGGAGCAGCUAGUGAUAUUUAAAUGCCGAGAACUGGUAGAGAUUCCAGUGGGGAUUAAAUGUGUUAAAGAACUCAGGCUCAUUGAUCUCGCAAAGAUGGCGUGUUUGCCCGAAGCACUGCAAAACCUCUCCUCCUCACUGAAGACGCUAUUCAUUCUCGGGCUUCCGGAGCUGAGUUCACUGCCCGAGUGGUUGGACAAGUUGACAUCACUUCAAAUUCUGUAUAUUGCUGAGUGCCCGAAGAUAGAUUCAUUUCCGGCUAGUAUACGACGAAUGAAAAAUCUUCGGUUAUUGAGCGUGGAGAAAUGCCCCGAACUGGAAAGGCGGUGUUUGAAGGGAAAGGGAGAGGAUUGGGACAAGAUACAACAUAUUCCCAGGCUGGAUAUUGGUUAAUGGUGCUGUUUCAAAAUGUAAGUUUGGCAAUAGAAGUAAACUUGUAAUUCUUAGUUGUUUCUACAAUUUGAAUCAUUUUGUUAUUCAAAUAAAAUAUUCAGUAUUCUGUACAAGCUAAUGUUGAAAAACCUUCAACCAACCACAAAUGGUGAAUGAUAAUAUCAAGUUCACCAAAAAUUAAGAGGGUGUUUUGGCUAAGAAUAGCGUAUCGGAUGUUAAUAAGAGCUUAUAAGCUCUUUCAAAGUGUUUGAUAAUUUAAAGGUAGCAUCACUUCCAGCUAGUAUCCAGAGAAUGACAAAGCUCGAAUAUCUGAAAGUGCGUGGAUGCCCGGAAUUGGAAAGGAGAUGUGAGAGAGAAAAGGGAGAGGACUGGCACAAGAUAGCACAUAUUCCCCACCUCUACAUUGGUAUCGGGGUUCGCUAAUUGGCAGCUGCAGGGCUUCUCCUUCUUUGGUAUGUAGCUCCAUUAAAUCUCUUUCCUUUUAUCAUGCUUACAAAUUUAGUAUUUCUGCAACUAUUUUUUGUUCUCUGAUAAAUUGGUUAGCUUUGACACAUCCUUUACUCUUCUUUUUUGUCUCUGUCUUUUAACCAACAGGCACGCCAUAUUCGAUUCGAUUCAGGGGUAGGUGUUUUCCGGUUUGGAUGUCAAAUUCAACUAUGAAGAAAGUAGUUCGAAUUGAUAUAUGAUUCUGUGAGAGUUUUAUGCAUCUUCCGCAACUGGGAGAGCUACCUCAUCUUAAAACCUUGAGUGUGAAGAAUCUGGCUCGGGUGGAGUACAUUAUUGAGAUUGAGGAAGAAGUAGUUCAAAGUGCAAAUACAUUAAUAAGCGUACAACAGUUCCCAUCUCUGGAAAGCUUGUACUUAUGUGGGCUUCCGAAUUUCAAAGGGUUGUUUUUUAAGAGCAAGUGAUGAGAUCAGCUGAAGCAUUCCCAAAUCUCGAGAAGCUAGAUAUUGGAUGGUUCUCAUCAUUAGCACUACCACCACUCUCAACAUCUCUCAAAAAGUUGAAAAAAUUGAAAUGCGGCAGCUUAAAUCUGGCUUCAUUGUCGUCUAAGCUGGAAACUCUUACUGAUCUGACCGUGCACUUCACAAAUACGUGCAAAUGUAUUACAGUUGAGACACUUGAAAGCCUCGCCAAUCUCAAGAAAUUGGAGAUUUGGGAAGCAGAUGAGCGGUCUCUGCCGGAAGAAGGGAUGCGAGCCUUGAAAUCUCUUACAAGUUUGUCCGUAAAUUAUUGUCGGAAACUGAUGGGGGGUUUGCCUCAAGGGUGGCUGCGACACCUCACUGCUCUGGAGGAACUAGACAUAUUUCAAUGCGACGGAGUUGUUGAGCUGCCAGAUGAGGUUAGAUACCUCAAAUUCCUUGCAAAAGUCGAGCUCAAAAGUCUUCCAAAGAUGGUGUAUCUACUCAAGGCAUUGCAACACCUCUCAUCCUCACUCCAGUGUUUGUUCCUAUCCACUCUUUGUGAGCAGAGUUCACUGCCGGAAUGGUUGGGAGAUUUCACGUCUCUUGAAGAGUUGACUAUUUCAGAGUGCCCAAAGGUAACAUCACUUCCAACUAGAAUCCGGGGAAUGACAAAUCUCCAAUUCAUGUUAGUGAUGGAAUGCCCGGAAUUGGAGAGGAGAUGUGAGAGAGAAAUUGGGGAGGAUUGGCACAACAUACAACACAUUCCGCACCUGUACAAUUUUUUUUAAUAAUAAAAGAACUUCAAUAUUCAAGAGGAAUAAUAGUCUACAAACGUGCCCCAAAGUCACAAAAAGAAGAAAAAGGAAUAACAUUCGCAGAAACAAAACCAUUCCAAUCGGACUCGAAGGCUCGUUUAACAAGAUUGUGGGUAGAUUUUUCCAAUAUUUUUUUGGAUCAAAAUUGGAAUAUACAAGAAUUUGUUCACCCAUCGCACUUUGAUUUCCGAAAGUAAAUUAAUUAAUUUCAAAUGUUCCUGAAAAUUGCUGUUAUAAUAUCAAUAUUAUUAUGUAUUUUAUAUUAUAGGGGCAUAAUAAAAAUAGGAUUCCGAUUCUGGUCUGAAAUUUUUUGAAUUUGGAACAUUUUUUUUCAUUCUAAUUUUCAAAAUUCUAAACAUACAUAAAAAAAAAAUGUGGUUUUUUUUUGCAAGAACUACCCCUAUAUAAUCUCUAAUUGCCAAAAAACCCUUGUGUUACAAAAAUUAGCCAUGCCACCAUAUGAAAAUUAGCCAAAGGCAAAACAAAAUCCUCUGACAGCGUUUCGUGUGGUGCGAUCGCGGAAUGUGCGGCUAGAGGUGUGUUUCUUACAUGAAAAGUCAAAAAUACCUUUAAAAUUCAGAAUUUUGAAAAUUACAAAUUCGUCCUGAAAUUUUAUAAGCCCCUAAAUGAAAUUUUCAAAAUUUUUAGGUCAGUCCUUUUCAUUUCUAUAAAACCCUCUUCUUCAAAUCUUGCUCCACAUUGUUAGUUUGUUACUGUAUGCCAUCUUCAUUAUACUACUCUAAAAAUAAUAUUUUUUAUAUAAAAUAAACGGUUUCAUUAUAAAUAUAUAUUUUUGCAUAUAUAAUUAAUUACUAAAUUAAACCAAAUCAAACCAAAUUAAGUAUAGUAUAUACGCCUCUGUACCUUAACAUUUCCAGCUUCAUUAAUGGCGUCAAGUCGUCAACAAGCUUAAGCUGCAGCAACAAAUUGUGGCUCCUGAAAUGCACGUCGGAGAUUGCGUAGAUCACCACAUCAACUUUCUUCACUGCUUCCAACCAAGCUCCGGUGAUCGGAAAAUGAACCCUCGACCAGCUCCGGCCCUUGCCGCUUGAAUUCCAUCAGAACCUGCAACUUGUUGCUGUCCAACCCUAUCUCCGGCCGCCGGAGAAUGAGUUUAUGUUACUCAAUGUUUACGUACACAUGACUACAUUAUUUGGACAACCACCCCUCAGUUAAUGAGGUAAUGUCAAAUUACGAAAAAACCCCUCAUGUUUGAUAAUUACAACCACCUCCCUCAUCUAUUAAUCUUUUUACACGCCUAUCCUAAUAGUGUCAAACCCAACAAAAUCUUCUAAAUUAUGUGGAAUGUUGUCUAGUUUGUACUCGUUUUGUACAAAAAUGCAGUUUCUGAUAUACCACAAUCUGAUAUUUACAAGCUAAGAGACACAGUUUAUGAUCAUCUUGUUUCAAAAUGUGUAGCUCGAAUGAGGUAAUUAAACAUGUACAAACUGGAGAAUAUUCACACAUAAUCUAGAAGAUUCUACUAAAUUUGACUCCGUAAGGAUGGAAGUGUAAGAAGAUUGAUAGUUGAUGGAGAGGUUGUAAAUUUAUAAUUACCAAAAUAUAAGGAUUUUUUCAUAAUUUAACCUUACUUUAGGGGUGACCUUAAUUUAUCCAAAAUUAAAUGCAAAUGAAAAUUAUGGCAUAAAUCUAUAUCUAUACUACUUAUAAAAGGAGGAAUCCUAUGGUGGUUUCUUCCAUUUUUUGAAGAGACAAAAAUACCCUUUGGCAAGUUCAAACCUUUAAGGCCAAUUGAGUAAUAUAAACUGAUUGUUAAUUAUUAUAAAUUAAUAUUAUCUUAUGACAUUAAAUAAGUAUAUCAUUAACUAUUGCCAAAUAUAGUAUGGACAAGUUUAAAUUAUUAAUGUCAAUUUAUAUAAAAAAAAUCUAGAUGCACGGACAAUAGAAUUAAGGAAAAAAAUAAUACCAACAUAACUGUUUAAAAUUAGUUUUAAUUAUCUUUACAUAUAUCGUUAUCUAAAACGUAAUUAAAAAAACUCUUUAUUUAAUUAAUUAGUAUCAAAUUUCUUCAGUUGAAGAAUUUUUAUCACUCUCCGAAUGUUGAAUAUCUAUGUUUACUAAUAAAAAAAAUAGUUUAUAAAAUUCAUAAUUUUAUCUAUGCCAAUCAGUAAUUACUAUAAUAUGUAAGAUUAGAAGUACGAGUAAUAUAAAUAAAUAAAUAAUUAGUUUAAUUUAUUUAUAAAAAUAAAUUGUAAUCUGAAUGAAUAAAUUUUCUAUAAUUCAGGAAUACUCAAUAUUGAUAAGGAAAAACUGUUUGAUUCCUAAUGAUUGUUCAACUAAUUCAUAAUGUAUUUAUUAAUAUUUAAUUAAUUGCAACUUUAUUGACUUGAGAAUUUGUAUAGUCUCAAGUCUUGACUAUACAUUCAUUAUACCCCAAACAAUUUUUGUUUAAAUAAAACGGCAUUAAAGAUAAAUUACAUAUAUUUUUUUAAUUUGUUUCAUGCUCUAGACAUACCAAAAAUAAGGUCACGCCAUGAUCCACCACGGCCACCACCAUCUACAACCAUAAAAAAUGUGGAGAAUCAGACAGGAACCAUCGGUGGCUACAUAGCAUCUUACAUCGAUUUUCAAGAGAUAGCUCUUCGCAUUUUGCGGUUUCAGUGCCAACAAUGCCGAUAUGCACGGUGACGGGAAUGACUUUAAUAAAUUUCUAAUAAUAUUUCAAUUUUAAACAAAUAAAAUUUAAAAAUUAUAUAUUAAAUAUAAAUAAAUUAUAAAAAUAUUUCUUAUUCGUCAAUAGUAACACCAUAUGGGGCAUGUGUAAGACGACAACAUACCUGACAUUAACUCGAAGGGUUUCUCGUAAUUUGUCAUUUAUUGUUUUUCAAAUAACAAAAGGGUAGAACAAACAAGAUACAUUUUAUGUGAAUUUAAACGGUCAAACGCUGGUCAGAAGAGGAUUUUGUAACUACACAAACAUGAGGGGAAUUUUUUUUAAUUAGGCUUUAUCUCAUGGGGGUUUUCAUAAUUUCCGCUAAUUAUUAUAUAGAAUACACGCAAAAUAAAACUUAUAUAUUAAUUUUUUUUUUAUUUUACCUCUUUUAUGUUGGCUUCUAUUUGUUAUAUAUUCAUUUCUUAGGUGACUGGUUUGACUUCAAAUUUUCUAGACCACGUAAGUAUUUGUUGACAACAACAAAUAUAAUAACCCUCAGGCUAGACUCAAAUUGUAAAUUUUGAGGCAAGUUCUCGAGAUUACAAAAAAAAAAUUGAAGAAAGUUUGUACAAAAAUUAAUCACGUCAGUGAAAAACAUUACUACAAUGAUAUUGAUGACCCACAAAAAAAUAUUAUUUCACUCAGUCGAAAUUUAGCAAGAAAAAAAAUGAAAAGGAAAAAAAAGGUUCGGGGAAAUGGAUCAAUAAAAUCAAUGUUAUUCUUGCAAACUUUUGAGAAUUUUUCUUGCUUACUAUGUGAAUGAGAAGUCUUCUUAACCUAUAAAUCAGGAAAAUCAGUGUAUUUGACUAUAUUUCUAUUCCAUGUCCACAUUAUUUCGGUGGAGUAGUUGAACAACCAAUUUUGUUUCAUAUCUUUAAAAAAAAUUCAACUCAGUCCCCAAAUUGUAAGGUUAUUGUUAAAAUAAGGAGAUAUAUUCAACUUACACUUUCACCCCUCAAUUGCGAUUUUCUUCAUCGUUUUACCAUUCCGCAAUUUCAAGGGAUUUUUAGGUAUUGUUGCAAAAUUAUUGUGAUGUAAUUUUGGAGUUCGCUUCAAGAUUUGAAAACAAAAAUUAAGAUACGGAAAAUAAAAAAUAAUUAAUUGAAUCAUGAAUACAAAUAUAAAUAGAAAUUAUAUGAAUCUAAACAUUUUAUAUGAUAACAUUAAAAGUUAAACUAUAAAUACCUUAACUUUUAACGGUCAAUAAAUUCUAUUUUCAAAAAGAAAAAUAAUGACAAUAAUAAUCUAUCUAUCCAAGAAAAUAUGAUAAUGUUCCAAGAAGAAGUUGCAAGAAAAAACUAAUACAUAUAAGAAGAAAUGGGUAAACAACAUUUUCCAAUGAUAAUCAAUGUGAAAACAAUUCAAGAUGAAAGAAAAAAAAACAUACUAAAUGGAAUAUUGAACACAAAUAUAAGUAGAAAUUAUGAAUCUAUACAUAUUGUAAUAUUAGACAAAGUUUGACUAAUGAAUAAUAUCAAUAUACUCCAAAUAACCUCGAUAUUUUAAUUUGUAUUAUUAUUUUGAUCGAAUAAUAUGCCCAAAAAAAACCCAAUUAAAUUAACACAAGACGUGCAACGCACGUCCAGUGGCGUAUCUAGUGUAGUCCUAGGGUGUGCAACUGCACACCCUUGAUUUUGAAAAAAAAAUAUUCCCUAUAUAUUUAUAUAUUAUGUAACUGUAAAUGUAAAAUUUGCUGAAUAGGUGUUGUAGCUGAACUGGUAAAGUUCUACCUACAAAUUCUAAGAGGUGCAGAGUUCGAGACUUUGAAAACCACCUCUAUUUUGUAUUUUCAAAGUUUUUUAUUUUGCUAUUUGCAACUUUAAUUUCCAUUCCUAUAUAUAUAUAUAUAUAUAUAUAUAUAUAUAUAUAUAUAUAUAUAUAUAUAUAUAUAUAUAAUAUAAAAAGAGGAUCUUUGCCCUCAAUGAUUGACAUGUGGCAAAUGAUGAUGUCAUUUGUCAAAAUUGCUUAGUUGGAGUUCAAUUGAUGAGGUGGAUUCUUCAAUUGAUUAGGUGGCAUUUUUAUUUAUGGAUGUUUUUAAAUUUUUUCCUAUUUUACAUUUACACAAUCAUUAAAUAAUUACCAAAUGUAUAUAUAUUAUUUCCAAAGUUAAUAUUUUAUAAAUUCGAAAUAAAAAAAAUCUUAUUUAUAUUUUCAGUAUUUCAAAAUAUAUUUAUUGAAAAAAUUCAUGAAACUCAAUUUUUUUACAAAUAUUCAAAUAAUUUUCAUAAAAAAAUAUUUUUUUAAAUACUAAUAUUAAAAUAAAGGAAUAUGUUGUUGUUGUUGUUUUUUUUUUUAAUUUUUUUUAAUAUUUUAGAAUAUUCGAAUAUCCAUUCCAUUAAAAAUAAUAAUAAUAAAAUGUUUUAUUUGUUAAUUGAACUAUUUAAUAAAUAUACAAUAUUUUUUGUAUAUAAUUUUUAUUAUACCAUAUUUCAAAUUAAAAAUAAUUAUACUAUUUAAUAAAUAUGCAAUAUUUUGAAAUUUGAAAAUUUAAUAAUUUAAAUGCAGUAUAUUUUAACAAUUUAAAGCAUAUUUGUUGUUUUCUAAUUUUUUUGUGAUCUCCAGCCCGCAAUUGUUAGGACAAGAAAUUGUUUUCUAAAUGCAGUAGUUUUAAAGUAUAUUUCGAAAACACUAUUUAUUAUAUAAUAUGUUUCGAACUAUAAACCGGAUUAUGCAUUAUAUUUGUCAAUUACUAUUUCAAAUAAAUUAUCAAAUCACCAAUACAAAGGAAUCUUUAAUAUUCCAAGAUUCCUUCAUAUAAUCUUUGAUUGAUUUAAUUUACACUUUAAUUCAAAAUUGAAUGGUAAAAAAUAAAAAUCGUAUCUUCAUAUUUAAUGUUUUUAUAUUGCAAGAUUUUUUUCCACAAGUUAUUAUUUUAUUUUUUUGGGUUGUUUCCUUUAUUUGUUUGAUUUGAUUUGAUUUACUAAUAUAUAAAUCUUUUGAAUUUUUAAUUUUUCCAUAGAAUUAAGUUGAUUUUCAAUACUAUAUAAACCCCUCAAUGUUCAUUUCAUUUUUAUCUACCACCAUUCGAUUACAAAGUGCACAAUGUUCGUAUUAUACAGUUUCAUAUUACAUUUUUUUUUUAUUUUUUUUUAUAUAUACAUAUUAGUACUAUUUGUAUUUCUUUCUUUUGGGUUUUAAUUUUAAUAUACUUUUUAAUUGUUUUCAUGCAGUUUAUUAAAUAAAGUCGUUCGUACUUUAUGAAGAUCAAAAAAAUUGUUUGCGCUCAUUUCAAACAAUGUGUUCUUUGCAACGCGUAUUUUGAUCAUAAUUUCGAUCCAUGUAUGUGUGUCUCAUGUAGGGAAUCAAUCAAAGUCGUUCCACGCUCUGGAUCUUGCAUUGUAUGUUCCUUGAAAAUAUAGUAUUUUUAUAAUUAAAAAUUUACAUUAACAUCAUUCCAUGUAUUUUGAUAUCAUAUUAAUUUUCAUUUAUUUUAAUUCUUGCAAAUAUAGUACAUUUAUAGACUUAAAUGUUUAAACCGAAUUGAAAAAUUUAAUUUUUAUAUAUUACGAAAUUUAUAUUUUUAUUAUUAAAAUACAAAAACAAAUGUAUGUAUAUUUCAUAUAUUUUGAAUUUUUUCUAAAAUUUGGAUAUGCAUUUAUUAUAUAAAUCAUUUCUCUAUAAUAUGUAUAUUAUAUACCAUAAUAUCAUAAGUUUUUAUCAUUUCAAUAUAUGAUAAUAUCAUAACAAGUUGAGUUUAUUGCGAGAUUUUUUGAUAAUAUAUACGAAUUGCUUAAUAUAAACUAUGCAUGGUUUUCAUAUUUUGCAUGAUAUCUAUUAGUAUGUCUGAGUCAUUUCCAUAUUUUAUAAUAUAUAUAUUGUACACGUUUCUUUCAUUUAAUGUUUCAUGAAUUAUUUAAUUAAUAAAACUAAUUUCUUUUAUUCUAAUUUGUUUUUUAAUUUCUGAUCUAAUUAGUUCUAUUAAUAUUUUUUCAAGUCUUCCAAUAUUUUAGAAUGAAAAUAAUUUGUGUAAUAAAUUAAAAUCACGUAAAAAUUCAAAAUCGGAAAGUAAAUUAGAAAUUUGAAAUUGCAUAUUAAAAUUAAUAUCAUCUAAUAAUUAUUGUAAUGCAAUAAUUAUUCAAAUAUACAUACUAUUAAUUUUCUUUUAUUUAGUUUCUGAUAAAAUUAGUUCUACUACUAUCUUAUGCAUUUUUAUAUUUUAAUGUAACAAAUUAAUCAAUUAUCCGGAUUUCAAAUUUUAUAAAAUUUGAAUAUUUAAGUUUUCCUUUUAAUAUGUUGCCAACAUACUCUCCCAAUUAAUUUAGACUUUGAAUGAUUACUUAUUUAUGAUGAUUUCUUUUAGUUAUCCAAUUUGGGUAACUUUUUUUUUUCAAUCAAUGGCAUAUGAGGCAUGUGUAUAUUCAUUUAUGGUAUCCGAUUUUGAUUUGAGUUGAGUUUUGGAACCAAUAUGGUAUAUGUAUAUUCAGUUAUGUAUUGUAUUUAAUGAUUUUGUUAAUAUUCCAUUACUAAAAUCCAAAAUGUGAGGACUUUUGAUCAUAUUUUUUUAUUAUUUUUUCGUUUCACUUUUAUUGCCGCCCAUAACCAAUUAAUUUGAAAUUUGAAUUCAUAAAAUUUCCUAAACGAUAUAUCAUAAUUAGGGGUGCAAGUUGGAACGGAAAUUCCGAUUUCCGCCGGUUCCGAUCCGAAAAGUUCCGAUUUUGGAACAACUUUUUUCAUUCCGAUUUCCGAAAUUCCGAUUUCCGAUUUUUUCCGAUUUUUUUGGAUUGGAAUUGGAAUUAUAUAAAAAAAAAUUGGAAUUUCCGAUUUCCGAUCCGAUUAUUUCCGAAAUUAAUUCCGAAAAAAUUCCGAUUUUUUUCCGAAAAAAAACCGAUUUUUUUUCCAAAAAAUACAUCUCUUAUAUAUAUAUAUACNNNNNNNNNNNNNNNNNNNNNNNNNNNNNNNNNNNNNNNNNNNNNNNNNNNNNNNNNNNNNNNNNNNNNNNNNNNNNNNNNNNNNNNNNNNNNNNNNNNNNNNNNNNNNNNNNNNNNNNNNNNNNNNNNNNNNNNNNNNNNNNNNNNNNNNNNNNNNNNNNNNNNNNNNNNNNNNNNNNNNNNNNNNNNNNNNNNNNNNNNNNNNNNNNNNNNNNNNNNNNNNNNNNNNNNNNNNNNNNNNNNNNNNNNNNNNNNNNNNNNNNNNNNNNNNNNNNNNNNNNNNNNNNNNNNNNNNNNNNNNNNNNNNNNNNNNNNNNNNNNNNNNNNNNNNNNNNNNNNNNNNNNNNNNNNNNNNNNNNNNNNNNNNNNNNNNNNNNNNNNNNNNNNNNNNNNNNNNNNNNNNNNNNNNNNNNNNNNNNNNNNNNNNNNNNNNNNNNNNNNNNNNNNNNNNNNNNNNNNNNNNNNNNNNNNNNNNNNNNNNNNNNNNNNNNNNNNNNNNNNNNNNNNNNNNNNNNNNNNNNNNNNNNNNNNNNNNNNNNNNNNNNNNNNNNNNNNNNNNNNNNNNNNNNNNNNNNNNNNNNNNNNNNNNNNNNNNNNNNNNNNNNNNNNNNNNNNNNNNNNNNNNNNNNNNNNNNNNNNNNNNNNNNNNNNNNNNNNNNNNNNNNNNNNNNNNNNNNNNNNNNNNNNNNNNNNNNNNNNNNNNNNNNNNNNNNNNNNNNNNNNNNNNNNNNNNNNNNNNNNNNNNNNNNNNNNNNNNNNNNNNNNNNNNNNNNNNNNNNNNNNNNNNNNNNNNNNNNNNNNNNNNNNNNNNNNNNNNNNNNNNNNNNNNNNNNNNNNNNNNNNNNNNNNNNNNNNNNNNNNNNNNNNNNNNNNNNNNNNNNNNNNNNNNNNNNNNNNNNNNNNNNNNNAUUCUGAGCUGUUUAGCUCGUGAAAUUAUUUUAAUAUGUCCUCUCAAUCUUAUAUAUUUAUUUGAACUUAUGAAUAUCAAGUUUUAAUUAGUUGACUUGAUAAAUUAUAUAAAUACGCAAAAAAAAAAAAAAAUCAUUGAUUAUAAUUAGAAGUGUUUUAAUCUUGCCUUCAUGAUCCGAAUAGCAUAAUGUGUUUUGGUAUAAAUAAAAACCGCAUGAGUUUAUUUAAUAAGCUAAUUUUUCAAAUAAGCAUGUGACAUCAUCAAACAACAAUCAAUACCUUUUGUAUUACUCUUCUCAUAAAAGUGAAAGAAAUGCUAAAUAUAAAAUAGCGUGUUAUAUUCAUAUUAUAAGAAAGGAAAUUAGAUUAAUUGAGAUUUUAAAUAUUAUAACUUUUUUGAUAAAUGAUAUUUUAUUAUAAAAUUAUUGUAGGCAUAAUAAAUAAUGAAUUGCAAUACAAUGCUACGUUCGAGAAAUUUAAUUUGCAUAUAACCAAAAAGGACAAUAGGCAUGAUUUAUUUUAUACUAAUCUAUAUAAAAUAUUUUAAAAAAAUUAUUGCCUUAACGAAUGACAUGUGUCAAGAUGCUUAUGUCAAACUUUGAAAUCGCUUAGUUGAACUAAAUUGCUUAUGCAUUUUCGUCAAUUGAUUAUUUGUCAGCUUUUAUUUUUGUAUAAUUAAAUUGUUUCCUACUUAACUUUUGUAUAUACAUAUUCUUUUAUGAAUUUUAUAUUUUAUAAAUUCAAAAAAUAUUAUCUAAUUUAAUUUAAUGUUCCGAGAAACGUAAUUUUUAAUGUCUUUUUUUUUGUAUUAUUUUUUUAAUUUAAAUAUUUACGUUAAUAAAAUUUUAACUGAGACAUACAUUUGAAUCAUUUAUGUCCAAUUAUAUAACAAUAUAUAUUUUUAGGUAAAAUUUAUACUCCUUCCAUUCAGAGUUUAUGCUUUUAGGAAAAUCGAUUUGCUAUUGCCGCCCAAUUGAAAUUUUUGAAUUUUGAAAUCUUAUAUUUUCUACCAUUUACAUGUACUACAUGCACACUUUAUGGUAGUCCGUAAGUAUUUUGGUUUGUUUAAUAAUAAAGUAUGAGUAUGAUUAUAAGUAUUAUUUUGAGUACGAAUAUAAGGAUUAAUAUCAGUAUCAGUAUUAGUAUCGGUACCGAUAUCGGUAUCGGUAUCGGUAACGGUAUCGGUAUCAGCAUUAGCACUAUUUUCAUCAUUAUCAUUAGCAUUAGCAUGAACAUUAGUAUCAAUAUUAGUAUUAGUAUUAGUAUUACGAUUAGUGUUAGUAUCAGUAUUCACAUUAGUAUUAGUAUUAGUAUUAGUAUUAAUAUUAGUGAAUAUAAUAUGUAUCAAUAUCAGUAUCACUAUUAUCGUUAUUAAUAUACUAUUAGUAUUAGUAUUAGUAUUAGCAUUAGUAUUAGCAUUAGCAUUUGUAUUAGUAUUAGUAUUAGUAUUAGUAUUAGUAUUAGUAUUAGUAUUAGUAUUAGUAUUAGUAUUAGUAUUAGUAUUAGUAUUAGUAUUAGUAUUAGUAUUAGUAUUAGUAUUAGUAUUAGUAUUAGUAUUAGUAUUAGUAUUAGUAUUAGUAUUAGUAUUGGUAUUAAUAUUGGUAUUAAUAUUAAUAUUAGUAUAAUUAGUAUUAGUAUUAGUAUUAGUAUUAGGAUUAGUAUUAAUUAGUAAUAAUAUUAGUAUUAGUAUUAGUAUUAAUAUUAAUAUCAACAUUAGUAUUACAAGUUGCAUGGACAAUUAUAUAUCGUAAUGCAGAUAAUAGAGUAUGGGUAGCAUAAAGAAAUUUAUCAAGUUGGAAUCAGGCGAAUAAUGUUAUUAACAAUUUUGUCUACCAGGAGGGUUUAUAAGUGAUUAUGAAGGUAUAGCACAAUUUUUUGUGAUUUUAUAACAAAAAAUUUCAUCUCUAAUGUACAUUAAUGCCGCUCUAAUGAUUUUUUUUUUAAUCUAGGUAAUUUUAUAUAAAUUCUAUUUAUUUUACAUUUUUAGGUGAUUUAUUAUUCAGUAAUGUGUACGACUGAGAGAAUAUGAACAAUGCAAAAUGUGUAGCUUAAUUACUCACAAGGUAUUAGAUGAGUUGUAAACGAUUUCAAUACAUGUAUAAAAUAUCACUUUGAUAAUUAAAUUUCAUGUUAAAGAUUCGAGUGCAUUGGGCGAGAUAGUUUUACGAUUUGGGUCAGAUGAGGUAUUGUAUAUUUUAUAUCACAAGUAUUUAGUUUAUAUUUUAUUUUAUUAUUAUUAUUGUUUAAGUUUUGUAUUUAAAUCAGAUGGAAUGGAUAUUUUUUUUGUUUUGGAUUAUAUCAUAUUAUAUAUCAAUUUAUUAAAGUUUUUACUAUAUUAUUUUAUUUAAAUGUAUUUUCAUUGUUCGUGACCGUAGCUUCAUGUUAUAUUGUACCAACAUUUAGAUUAAUGUACAAGAGUGGUCCAUUCAUUCGAUUCCCCACUUGGAGAUGGUUGUGGCAUUUCGGCGUGGAUGGUUUGUACAAGAUUGCCAUUUUAUAUUUAUGUAGACUUUUUGGUGAUGAUAUAAAAUACGAAAUUGUUAUUUUUUGUUCGGUCGUAUUCGACUUAAAUCCUCGACCUUCUUUUAGUUCGGUGAUUUUUUAGAAUAAUUUCUUUUGAUCUAAAAUUUGAUCCCUCCCGUGCAUCGCACGGGUGAGAUACUAGUUCUUUUAUAUUUUAAAAAGUACUCAAAAUCUGCUAAUGAAAUACACAUUUUGUCACUUGCAACUUUAAUAUGCUUACCACUCCUUAAAUAUUUUCACCAAUUUUAUGUCUAUAUAUUUCCUAAAUUAGCCCAAAAUUUGUAAAAUAAUCCCUUUAAAUUUGAAAAUAUUACAUAUUUUUAUUAUUUAAUGUGUAUAGUAUUAAAAAAAAAAAUCGGGGGCACUGCCCCCGAACCCCCGUAAACUUUUACCUUUUUUACUAUAUUUAAUUCCGAACACCCUUGGCAAAAAUCCUGGAUUCGCCACUGCGCACGUCCACCUUUCUAGUUAUAAAAAAAAUGUAUUUUUCUAAGUGGGAGUUGGUUUCCAGGAUAGUGUUAGCCUGUUAGGUGAUUAUACUGAAAUGUGUUAUUUAACAAAAUUCACAGGUUUUUUUUUUACUAGUUUAUUUAUCACAUGAGAUUUUCUACAAUUUCGAGAUUAUAUGGGAGUACUUUUCGCAGUGUACUCCCUAAAAGAAUAGAACAAUGUUGGUUCAUGUUAGGUGGGAUUUAUCAGCUACUCCCAUAUUGAACAGCAUAUCCAAUUCAAAUGACGAACAAAUCGACACAAACACACACACACACACACACACACACGAGAUUUUUAAUGUUGUUAAACUAAUUACUUGGUAAAUGGUAAGUAUAUCUGUAUAUGCAGUACAUUUGAUGUGAUGAUAGGGCUGUGAAAAACAACCUUAAAAUCUACUGUUCCAUGCAUUCUUUGAUUUCAAGAAAAGCAAGAAAAUUUAUGUACCCAAUUAUGCCUUCAAAUCUUAUUGAUAAAAGCCCUUUCCAUUUCUUUGUAUUUACGUCACAUUUAUAAAUAUAUUCAUGAAAUUUGCUUAUAAAAACAUAUACCUAAGAGAAAAAAAAGAGAAGGAUAUACUGGGAAAAGGCAAAGUGCUGCUGAUCACAGGGGAGAGACUGGUAAUAGCAAGUUUUGGCUUAAGGUCUUGAGAGACCUGCACUCUGAGUAGACAUGAGAUUGGUGUGGACAUAGCAAAAUAAACUUACAAAGAACUGUAGACAAACUUAUUUCUAUUAUUAUUUAUUAAAACAAAAAAAAGAUUAUUUCUAAUAAUAUAAAAUACAUUUUAACGUACUACGAAGCACAUGCACAUAUACUAGUGGAAGAUAAGAAAAUAAUAAAUGUCGACAGAAAUUUGGUGGCAAUUUCUUCUUUGACUAAAGAGGCGCACACCAAAGUUGAAAACAUUGAUAUAAUACAUUUACUUUGAAUUUUGAUAUACCAAGAUCUGCACUGCAUUAUUAAUUAUAUGCAUUACUUUGAAUCUGUCCAAUUAAUUAUAAAUCACAAUAUUUAAACAAUUAAAAAAUAACACAUAAUUGUACUCACCAAAUUAUUCCACCAAAUAUUUAAUUUAUUUCACUAUUUCCCAUAAAUAUAGUCUGUAUGCAAUGAUUUGUUUAACUGAAAUGUUAACUGUAGCGGGACUUUUACUGAAAUUGGCUUAUUUGCAGCGAUACCUUUUCAUUUCAACUUUUUCAACUUUUUGAAAAACUCAAAACGCUCUCAACUAAAAAAAGUCGAGAAUUCAGAUUUUCGUGUUUAUUUGAUAAAUCGACUGCCCGACGACAACAAAUAACAAUAUGGCCGAUUCUGACGAGUCUUACGAGGUAAAUCGAAGAAAGUAGUGGAAGUUGAAAUUUUUCGUCGGGUCUAUCGUGUUGUGGAGCACGGGAAUCCAAAAAAAUUGCGGUUCCCGUGCUGUACAACACGAUAACAUCAAAAAAAAAGAAGAAUUAAAUGUAUAGUUCGUGCUGUGUAGCACGGGAAUAUCAAGUCCCCGUGCCGCAGAGGACGGAAACUUGUGGAUCCCGUGCCAUGCAGGACGGGAAACCAUGAACGAUCGUGCUCUGCGGCACGGGAACCCCAAAUUAAUUUUUUUUUAUUGUUAUUUAUAUACUAAUUAUUACUUGUUAUAUCUUAAUAGGGUACCUGAUGGUGAUUUUGACGAUGAAUUUAGAACUGAAUAUGACAAACAAUACAAUGAGUACGAGGAUCCCAACAUGUGUUUCGAUGUUCCUCAAGACACACCAAAAACUUCUGAGGAUCACAGUCAAUAUUACAAUGUAGGUGUUUUUAAACAUGUGUUUUUACCUAAAUUGAAAAUAAAAAUAAUUAAAAGUAGUAGGAAAUCGAAAACUUACCGGAAUCGAGCCUCGUUUGUACGGUUUGAAUGUCGAAAAUUUUUACGAAAUUCGAAUUUCUAGAGAGUGUUUGGGAAUAGGAGAGAUAAAUUGAAAGUUGAAAAAAUUAAAAUGAAAAAGGUACCGCUGCAAAUAAGCCAAUUUCAGUAAAAGCCCCGCUGCAAAUAGUAACACUCUUUUAAGGGUACUCGAUACAAUACGCACACGGCUUACGAUACCGGGAAUCCUGGCAUGUGUAGUUAGUACCUGCAUGCCCAUAUAUAAUUUAUUAUUAUUAUUAUUAUUAUUAUUAUUAUUAUUAUUAUUAUUAUUAUUAUUAUUAUUAUUAUUAUUAUUAUUAUUAUUAUUAUUAUUAUUAUUAUUAAUUUCUUAUGAGGUCCACACUCAAAUUUCUUAUUUGGUAGCAAUUUCUUCUUUGACCAAACCAAGAUCUGCACUGCAUGCAUUAUUCCCCUUCAUUUCAUAUUCCAAACAAUUAGCAAAAGUUUUUUCUUUUAAUCAAAAGUUGUUCAGAAAUGGCAGAAGCUUUCCUUGGAAUAGUUCUUGAAAAUCUGAGCUUACUGAUACAAGGUGAGAUUGGAAUGAUAAUGGGUGUUGAUGAAGAGAUGAAUAAUCUGUUCAGCACACUCACCACCAUUCAAUCUGUGCUCGAAGAUGCCGAGAUGAAGCAACUUCAAAGCAGACCCAUACAGAAUUGGCUACUCAAGCUCAAAGAUCUUACGUAUGAGAUUGAUGACAUCUUGGAUGAGUGUGCUACGGAACUCUCGAAAUUGGAGCACAGAAACAGCAAAUCCAGUCGCUAUAGCUUGAAGAAACUUCUCUUCCGACACAAAAUUGGAAGAAGGAUGAAGCAAGUCACGGAGAAACUGGACGCGGUUGCUGCAGAGCGUUCGAAGUUCCAUUUGCGCGAGAUUGCUGUAGAGAGGCCAAACGAGUUUGCUGCCACACGUGAGACUGGUUCCAUUUUGAACGAGUCUCGUUACAUUUAUGGGAGGGAAGAAGAUGCAGAGAAGAUUGUUGACAUCUUGGUCAACCAGGUCAACGACAAUCAAGAAAUUACCAUCCUGCCCAUAAUUGGUGUUGGAGGCCUUGGCAAGACUACCCUUGCUCAAUUAGUCUACAACGAUCCACGGGUCGUUGAACAUUUCGACAAACUAAUUUGGGUUUGUGUGUCUGACGAUUUUGAUCAGAAGACUUUGGUGAAAGGCAUGAUUGAAUCUGGGGGUGGAAGUGCUUCGGACUUGGUGCACUUGGAUGCUUUGCAGCGCGUCCUAUGGGAGUUGCUCAACAACAAAAGGUAUUUGCUUGUAUUGGACGAUGUUUGGAACGACGAUCAGGAGAAGUGGUAUGAAUUAAGAAAUGUUUUGGCAAGUGGCCGGGGUGGUAGUUCGAUUAUCGUCACCACACGCCUCAAAAAGGUUGCUGAUAUAAUGGGAACACUUGCACCACAUUACUUAAAGGGGUUGUCGGACGAGCAUUGCUGGAUGUUGAUGCGUGAACGAGCGUUUGGACAGGAGAAACAGGAAUUUCCAAACCUGGAAGCCAUUGGGAAGCAGAUUGUGAGCAAGUGUGCCGGUGUUCCUUUGGCUGCUAAGGCGCUCGGAGGUCUGUUGCGGUUUAAGAGGACAGAGAAAGAGUGGAAUUAUGUGAAAGAAAGUGAAAUAUGGGAAUUACCUCAAGAAGAAACUCCGAUACUGCCAGCCUUGAAGUUGAGUUAUCAUCAUCUUCCUUUAUCAUUGAGGCAGUGUUUUGCUUAUUGUGCAGUCUUUCCCAAGGAUUCUCAAAUUACGAAAGAAGAGUUGAUCUUUAUGUGGAUGGCGCAUGGUUGUAUUUCAUCAAAGGGAGUACUUGAAAUAGAGGAUGUUGGCAAUCAAAUAUGCGAUGAGCUCCUUUUCAGAUCUCUCUUGCAAUACGUUCCGGAUACAUAUAAACCAACUCUCAUUAUGCACGAUCUUGUUCAUGAUCUCGCCCAAUCGAUCAUGGAGAACAAAGUUCCUGGAACACAAGUCCAAAGGACAAACUUCAGAAGUGCAUCGUCUAACAGCAAAAUCCGCCAGGUGAAUUUGCAAGAAAAGUUUAUUCUCUUUCCUACGAGUUAUCAGCCAGAGAUGGACAUGCCUCUCGUCUUAAAGAAUUUUUUGCGUUUGAGAAUAUUAGAUGCACGUUGGACAAGGAUAGAAAGUUUGCCUUGUGUAGUAGGCAAUUUGAAACAUUUGCGACAAUUGAAUUUGUCUGGAUCAUGUAUUCUUACCCUACCAGACUCAAUAUGCAGUCUCUGGAAUUUGCAAGUCUUGAAUUUGGACUACUGUCGAGAGCUUGAGGCAUUACCAAAGAAGAUAAGGGACUUGAUUAAUCUCCGUCAUCUACUUUUACAAUAUUGUAGAUCACUAAGGGAGAUGCCAUCUAAAAUUGGGGAACUUACUAGCCUUAGAACAUUGAGUUUGUUCAUAGUGGAUCGUAAUAGAGGUAAUCGACUUGAAGAACUGCAAUGCUUGAAGCUGGGUGGCAAUCUUACUAUUUGUCAUCUGGAGAGAGUGGAAAACCCUAUGGAUGCAAAGAAAACAAAUCUUGCUGAAAAAGAAAAUCUUCGUCAUUUGUAUUUAGAGUGGGAACAUGAGAAUACUGCAUCAAAAUCAUCAGGGGAAGAAGAUAUAGAGAGAGAUGAAAAGGUGUUGGAAGCACUUGAACCUCACCCACAUCUCGAAACUUUAGAUAUAAAAGGAUUUGGGGGUAGGCAUUUUCCAGUUUGGAUGUCAAAUUCAACUCUGGCGAAACUAGUUAAAAUUUAUAUACAAGGUUGCGACAACUGUUUGCAUCUUUCACAACUGGGAGAGCUACCUCAUCUUAAGUUCUUGAGGUUAACGAAUCUGGCACGGGUGGAGUACAUUAUUGAAGAUGAAAGUGGGAAUCGAUUAACGAGCGUACAACAGUUCCAAUCUCUGGAAAAAUUGUAUUUAACAACUCUCCCCAAAAUGAAAGGAUUGUUGAAAGAGCAAGUGAUGAUGGGAUCAGCACCUAAAGCAUUCCCAAAUCUUAAAGAGCUAAACAUUCGAGAUUGCAAUUCAUUAAUUAUGGCUUCAUUGUCUAAGGUGGAUCGGAACGCUCCUACUGAUCUUUACGUGGACUUUAAGGAGAAAUUGACAUGCAUUACAAUUGAGACUAAUCUCAAGAAGUUGACGAUUAAAAAAGCGAAAAAAUAAGUGAUCUUCCAGAACAAGAGAUGCGAGCCUUGAUAUCUCUUACGCAUUUAACGAUAGACGAAUGUGAUACACAGAGGUGUUUGCCUGAAGGGUGGUUGCGACACCUCACUUCUCUGGAGGAACUAGUAAUAUGGAGGUGCCGAGAACUAGUAGAGCUGCCGGAGGAGGGGAUUAAACACCUCCACAGCCUGAAAAGAGUAUCCCUAAUUUAUCUUCCAAAGAUGGUUUGUGUUCCUAAAGCAUUAAGCCACCUUUCAUCCUCACUCCAAUCUCUAAUCCUAUCCAGCCUUCCAGAGCUGAGUUCGCUGCCGGAGUGGUUGGGAGAUAUGACAUCUCUUCAAUCUCUCAAUAUUUAUGAGUGCCGAAAGGUAGCAUCACUUCCAGCUAGUAUCCAGGGAAUGACAAAGCUCCAAUAUCUGGAAGUGCUUGCAUGCCCGGAACUGGAAAGGAGAUGUGAGAGAGAAAAGGGAGAGGACUGGCACAAGAUAUCACAUAUUCCCCACCUGCAAAUUGGUUAAUGGAUUUUCCUAAUUGGCAGUAAAUCUCUUUUUGCUUUUAUCAUGUUUAUAAAUUUAGUAUUUCUUCAACUAUCUUUUUGUUCUCUGAUAAGUGGUUAGCUUUGACACAUCCUUUUUUGUCUCUGUCUUUUAACAAACAGGCACGCCAUAUUCGAUUCGAUUCGCUGCAUGCCUGAUGAUUACAAGAAAACAUCUUCAACUAAUACAUAUUUGUGCCAUUCUUUUCGUUUUGCCCGAGCUGUGAUGAUGUAUCAAUGCAAAGUGAACUUAAUGUUAAUUUGGUAUUUUGAUUUAAUUUGUUUGAAAACAUGUGUUUUAUUCCGCAAGUGAAGUUUAUGCCUGUAACAUGUCAUAAACAAAUGAUAAUAUAUGGUUUGAAAACCCCAUCUCUCUCUCUCUCUCUUUCUUUUUUACUUCAUCUUCUGUUCUAACACACCAGCUUAUACAGAGAUUCUCUUACACAACAGAAGUUAAUCUACAGAUGACUAUAUUGCAAAGACAAAAAUAAAAUCAAAAUUCGCAGGUAGAGGUAAAUAUCACGACAGAUUUCAGAUUAGGCAAAUACAUCCAGUUGAGAUUUAAAUACCUGUACAAGAAAAAGCAAUAAAUUAUUUCUUGAUUUAUACAAAUUAUUUCUUCAAAACACCCACCCACAAAGCAGUAACCCCCAAAAUCUAACUUAAUUACCCAAAUUCUUAAUAAUUACUAAUUUUUUUUUUUUUUUUUCUGAAUGAAUUCCCAACAACGAUUCAAUAUAAAGAGAAUUAAUAAUUCACAAAUAUCACUCAGAGACUUGGCAAUAUUCUUUAUCUCGCAGGACAUAAACAAUCAAAUAAAAACCUAAUCUUGAGUUUUUUUUUUUUUCAAUGAAAAAAAAAAACUUGUACAAGGAGGAUCGGUAAACCCACUUCUCGAACCAGCAUCACAAAUUUAAAUAGCCAAAGAAUCUUCUUCCGUAGCAGAAAUUUCGAUUCCUUGAUUCAAUUUAUUUAUUUAUUAUUCCAUUUUCCGAUCAAAAUCACAACAAGAAACGCAUGGAACCGGCCUUACAAUUCAGGCGAGGAUUAUGCCAAAAAAAAAAACUGUUCUAUUUCAUGAUCGGUGCUUCAAAUAAUGGAGUUUGGAGGGCACCGUCCAAAUGUUUUUAGACCGCGCUAAAGUUCGGGGGACCAAAUUGGUGGGGGUAAUACAAUCAUCAGGGGCAAUUAUGUCAUUCUACAUAAAAAAAUUAGAAAAAAAAAUACACAAAUACUGUCAAACAGAAAACCGACCUUAGCCAAUUAUAAUUAUGUGUGCUGCCGACACAAUUAUUAGUAGUUAAAUUACAAAAACACCCCCUUAGGUAAGGUAUAUUUACUAAAAAAAACCCUCAUUGUUCCUCAAUUACAUCCAUCCCCUGACAUUUGUAGAUUUCUUACAUUGACAUCCUUUUGUUUGGGGUGGAUGUAAGAAAUUUAGAAACUGCAGGGAGCUGAAUGUAAUUUCUCAAACAAAAGGGUUUUUUUUUAUAAUUACACUUUACCUCAGGGAGGUGAUUGUAAUUCACCCAUUAUUAGUAGAAGCUGAUAAGAAAUGUCCACAGAAAUUUGGUGGCAAACUCUUCUCCGCAUUUACUUUGAAUUUUGAUAUACCAACAUUCAUUACCACGUCAUCUCAUAUUCCAAACAAUUAGCAAUAGUCCAAGGUGCGAUUGGAUUGAUUGUUGGUGUGGAUGAAGAGAUAAAGAGAUGAGUAUAGUGGCGGUGGCGAUACAGAGGACGUGGUGGAGGAUAUUGUGUUUUGGGGUGUGGUGAAGAAGAGGGCUUCUCUUCAAAUGUGAGGGGCUGAAGUGAAAUUUUUAUAAACUUCAUUUCGGUCUUAUGAACAAAAAAAUGGGGGAAUCUGUAAUUUUUAAAAUUUAUGAUUAAGGAUAUUUGUGUCUAGUUCAAAAAUCGAUAAAUUAUAGUUUUCACCCCUCAAGUUUUCACCGAUUUUGCAUUUGGUCCCACGUUCCAAAAAAAAAUCAGAGAAGAAGAAGAACAACAACAAUCAAAUAAUGUUGGCGGUGGUCUCUAUUGAAAUUUCAGACGCAAUAUCAACCCUAGCGCCACUGCGUAGUCUCGUCAUUCUCCCUACCGAAAACCCUAACGCCGUCCUUGACGAGAGAAUUCCAGGGGUGGAGACCGCCUUCUUUUCGCGGCGGUGGAGGGAGGAACGUCGAUGGGAGAGAGUAGACGACGGCACAGAGACGGAAGAGGGUUGGAGGUGGCGGCAGCGCAGAGAUGGAGAAGGUUGGAGGCGGCUUAUAGAGAGAAAAGGGAGAGGGGAAUAAGAGAAACAGAGAGAACGUGAAAUAAGUUUGGUUAUUUUAAAUAUAACAUAGAAGAAUAAAUUAGGUAUAUUACUCAUGUUAAAUACAAUAUUAAUUAAAAAAUAAAUUAUUUAAUAUAAAGUGGGGGUCUCACUAAUAAUGAAAAAUAGGUUAUAUCCACCCUAAUAUAAGUAAAUGAGUUAGGGGUUUUUCACUAAUUAUCCCCUAUAUAUAUAUAUGGCAGAGGGAUCUAUCUUCAGUUUUUUCUUGAAAAAUUGAGCUCGUUGAUCAAGGUGGAGUUUGGAUUGAUUACGGGCGUGGAUGAGGAGAUGAAGAAGCUCUCCAGCACCCUCACCGCCAUUCAAGUUGUGCUCGAAGUGGAGCUCGCCGUACCUUGAAUUGACGGCGACUUCGGAGAAGAUCUGAAUUCACAGCGGCGGUGGCGAGAAGAAGAUGGCAAUGUCGGAGAAGAAGAUGGGAGAAGAAGAUGAAGUUGGGGGUCCCGUGAGUUUGACGGGAAGAAAAAUUCCAAUUUUUUGUUUCUUUUUUAAUUAAUAUUUUUAUAUUUAGUAGAUAUUUUUUUUUAUUUUGUUUAAUAUGAAACUAGAAAAACUGAGAGAGAUUUAGAGGGGUAUUUAUGUCUUUUUACACAAAAAGUCCCACAAGCAGUCGUAUAGAUAGCACGUGAAUGGCACGAACAAGAGGUAGGGGUGUAUAACUUUGACUACUGAUUACAGGAUGUUUUUGGCCACUUAAUUUUUCCGAGGAGUUUUUUUGGCCUUUAGAAAGUACACAUGAGGUGUUUGCAUUUAACUCCUUAAAUAAAUCAUUUUAGGACAAAAUGAACUUCACCCCUGCAAAUUUCUUAUUUUAGCACUUUCCUUACUAAAAAUUCAAAAACUAGAUAAUCCCCUCAAAAUAUUAUUUUGGUUGCACUUUGCCCCAUAAGCCCAUUUUUGGUGGACAUUGUACAACAAAAAUAACAUUUUAAAGGGGUAAUGUGCGAAAAAAUAAUGUUUUUAAGGGGUAACGUGCAACAAUAAAACAUAUAAAGGAGCUACAUGCAACAAAAAUACUAAAUUACGAUGAAUAAUCCAUCGAAAUUUUGAUAUGGGGGCAAUGUGCAACAAGAAUAACAUUUUGAAAGGGGGACAUUCACUUUUUCAAAUUUUGAGGGGGUAAAGUGCAAAAAUUUUAAAUUUUUAGGGGGUGAUGUGCAAUUUGCCCAUCAUUUUAUUAUUCAAAUAAAGUAUUCAGUUUGUGUACAAGCCACUUUUAAAAAACUUCAACCAACCAGAAUCAAAUCAACUUCACAAAAAUUAUAAAGUAGUCCACUUAUUUCUAAGACAAUAACUCUCAACUGAUUAUUAAACAUUGACAAGUUCUUGUUUGACUUUAGAGACACGCAACAAAGUUGAAAAGAUGCGUUUGCUUUGAUAUGUAAAAAAACUUCUCUCAUAUUCCGAACAAUUAACAAAAACAAAUCCUCAUAGUUCAAAUAUGGCAGAGGCAUUUCUUAAUUUACUUGUUGGAAAUCUGAGCUCAUUGAUCCAAGGUGAGAUUGGAUUGAUAAUGGGUGUGGAUGAAGAGAUGAAUAAUCUCUCCAGCACACUCACCACCAUUCAAUCUGUGCUCGAAGACGCAGAAAUGAAGCAACUUCAAAGCAAGGCCAUACAUAAUUGGCUGGUCAAACUCAAUGAUCUUGCCUAUGAUAUUGAUGACAUAUUGGAUGAGUGUGCAACUGAAGUCUCGAAAUUGGAGCACAGAAGCAGCAAAUCAAGACGCUAUAUCUUGAAGAAAAUUCUGUUUCGACGCAAAAUCGGAAGAAGGAUGAAGCGAGUCACGCAGCAAUUGGAUGCGGUUGCUGCAGAGCGUGAUAAGUUCCAUUUGCGUGAGAUGGCUGUACAUAAGCCCAUCGAGUUUUAUGCCACGCGCGAGACUGGUUCCAGUUUGAACGAGUCUCAUCUUGUAUAUGGUAGAGAGGAAGAUACAGAGAAGAUUGUUGGCAUCCUGGUCAACCAGGUCAACGGCAAUCGAGGAAUUACCAUCCUGCCCAUAAUUGGUGUCGGAGGCCUUGGCAAGACAACCCUUGCUCAAUUAGUCUACAAAGAUCAACGGGUCGUCGAGCAUUUUGACAAAAGAAUUUGGGUUUGCGUCUCUGGCAAUUUUGAUCUCAAGACUGUAAUGAAAGCCAUGAUUGAAUCAGGUACUGCAAAUUCUUCAGACUUAAUGCACUUGGAUAGUAUACAGCUCUGCCUAUGGGAAUUGCUGAACCAGAAAAGAUAUUUGCUUGUAUUGGAUGAUGUUUGGAACGAGGAUCAACACAAGUGGUCUGAAUUAAGAAAUGCUCUUGCAUGUGGCUCGAAUGGGAGUUCAAUUAUCAUCACCACACGCCUCAAAAAGGUUGUUGAUACAAUGGGAACACUUCCACCACAUUACUUGACAGGAUUGUCAGAAGAGCAUUGUUGGACUCUUCUACGGGAACGUGCACUCGGACAAGACAAGGACGAAUUUUCCAAUCUCGAAGCCAUCGGGAAGCAAAUUGUGAAGAAGUGUGCUGGUGUUCCUCUGGCUGCUAAGGCGCUUGGAGGUCUGCUGCGGUUUAAGAGGACAGAAAAUGAGUGGAAUUAUGUAAAAGAAAGCGAAAUAUGGGAAUUACCUCAAGAAGAAACUUCUAUACUACCAGCAUUGAGGUUGAGUUAUCAUCAUCUUCCUCUAGAGUUGAGACAGUGUUUUGCUUAUUGUGCAGUCUUUCCCAAGGAUACUUUUAUUCGGAAAGAUGAAUUGAUCUUUAUGUGGAUGGCGCAUGGAUAUAUUUCAUCAAAGGGCGUGUUGGAAAUGGAGGAUGUUGGCAACGAAAUAUGCAAUGAGCUAGUCUUGAGAUCCCUUUUGCAAAUCGUUACAGGUACAAAUAUUAAAACCAAUUUGAUUAUGCAUGAUCUCGUUCAUGAUCUCGCCCAAUCAAUCAUGGAGAACAGAACCACCGGGGCACAUACCCAGAGGAAUGUGACAAGUACUGCACCAAAUAGCAAAUUACGCCAGGUAAAUUUACGAAAAAAAUCCGUUGCCUUCCCUACGAGUAAUCAACCCGAGAUGGACAUGUCCUUCAUCUUGACGAAAUUUUGUCGUUUGAGGAUACUAGAUGCAAGCAGGACGGGGAUAAACGAAUUGUCUUAUGCAGUAGGCAGUCUGAAACAUUUGCGACACUUGAAUUUGUCCGAGACUCGAAUUCGUACCCUCCCCGAAUCGUUAUCCAGUCUUUGUAAUUUGCAAGUUUUGAAUUUGGAUUACUGCAAGGAUCUCGUAGCUCUACCGAAGAAGAUGAGAUGCUUGAUUAAUCUCCGUCAUCUAUUUUUAGAAUCAUGCACAUCACUGAAGGAGAUGCCAUCUAAAAUCAGGGAACUUACGUGUCUCAGAACAUUGAGUCUAUUCGUAGUGGGCCGUGAUAGAGGUAAUCAACUAGAAGAAUUACAGUGCUUGAACCUCGGUGGCAGGCUUACAAUUCCACAUCUGGAGAGAGUGGAAAAUCCCGUGGAUGCAAAGAAGGCAAAUCUUAGAGAGAAGAAAAACCUUCACCGUUUGAGUUUAGUGUGGGAAAGUGACAACAUUGCAUCAAGAUUAGAGGUGGAAGAGAGAGAUGAAAAGUUGUUGGAAUCACUCGAACCUCACCGAAAUCUCGAAAGUUUAGGGAUAAGGGGAUUCGGAGGUAGAUUUUUUCCGAUUUGGAUGUCGAAUUCGACUCUGGACAAAGUAGUCGAAAUCCACAUAUCAUACUGCAAGAAUUGUUUGAGACUACCACAACUGGGAGAGCUACCUCAUCUUAAAUCCUUGACUUUAGAUCAUGUGGCGGCGGUGGAGUACAUUAUCGAGGGUCAAGUUCAGAGUGGAAAUACGUUAUGUGUAAAUUUUCCAUCUCUGGAAACUUUGUAUUUGUGUUCUCUUCCGAAUCUCAAAGGGCUGUCGAAAGAGGAAGCGACAAGAGUAGCGUUCCCGAAUCUCGAGAAGUUAUGCAUUCUACAUUGUUCUUCAUUAGUAAUGCCGCCACUCUCAUCCCUAAAAAAAUUGAAGACUUUGAGCUGCAGUAGCUCAACUUUGGCUUCACUGUCGAACCUGUACACCGUCACUCUUCUUCUUGUGGACAUUGACAAGAAUACGACAUGCAUUCCGAUCGAGACGCUGCAAAACCUAAACAAUCUCGACGAUUUGUCGAUCUACGGAGCACAUGAGCUAUGCUUGCCAGAAGAAGGGCUGAAAUCCCUAAAAUCACUAAAACGCUUGCAUGUAAUAGAUAGCGAGAAGCUGACGUGUUUGCCUCAAUGCUGGUUGCGAAACUUGACUUCUGUAGAGGAACUAGAAGUAAGCCGAUGCUCGGAAAUAGUGGAUCUUCCGGAAGGUAUUAGAUAUUUUAACUGCUUGAAAGAACUGAAGCUCGACGAUCUUUCUAAGAUGGUGCGUGUGCCCGAAGCAUUGCAACACAUUUCGUAUUCGCUCCAAUCUCUCAAACUGCACCGCCUUCAUGUGCUGAGUUCACUGCCGAAGUGGUUGGAUGGUUUGACAUGUCUUGAAUCACUGGAUAUUUACGACUGCCCGAAGAUAGCAUCGAUUCCAGAUAGUGUAAGAGGAAUGACGAAUCUUCGGUAUCUGUGCGUGGAGAAAUGCUCGGAAUUGGAAAGGCGGUGCGAGAGAGGGGAUGGGGAGGACUGGCACAAGAUAGCGCAUAUUCCACGCCUGCAAAUUGGUGAACGCUGGUGAUUAAUUGAUAAUAAAUCAUCAACUAGCUCUUUCCAAUUCUGUAAUUUUACAAGAAUUAUUUUGGAGGUUAGAAAUGUAGAAGUUGAGCAAACUUUCAAACAAUUUCUACAUUUACUACCCAUGUUAAAAUCGCAACUGUGUUUUUCCCCAUGUCAUAAGAAAAUUAGCGAAUACCGUCUUGUAUUUAUUUUUGGACAGUAUACUCUACGGUUUUGUAGAACCUACGCCCGAUGAAUUAGGUGAAAUACGUAUAAUAAUAGAAGUCUAUGUGAAUGCAUGCUUAGAGGAUAGUUAUUUAUGUAGAUUUACGAUUUAAAACUACAUGGUGUAUUUCAUAGGUUGUAGUAUCUCAUAAGCCCACACACACUACCUAUUUAACUUUUUCUCGUUGACCGGUUGUGAAAGGACAAAAACAACCCGGGAGGUUUCUGCAAAAAACUAGAGUUAAUUGCGGGUGUGGGGUUCUGGGAAGAAGACGACUGCUUUAUUUUAUUUUUUUCCUUCAUUUUUUCUUCUUCUUCUUAUUAUUAUUAUUAUUAUUAUUAAUAUUAUUAUCAGGCCCCGUUUGGUUGCCAAGAUAAACCAAGAUUAACUAAAUAGCUGGACUUAAUUUGAUGUUUGGUAUCUUCAAUAAAUGCGGGUCGACCCGCCAAAAUUAUAUAAUCAUGGCUUAUCUUGGCUUAUCUUGCCUUCUAGUGUGUUUUUUUUGUUGGACGUCGCAAGCUCCAAUAAAAUAAUUGGGUUUCAUUAGACUAUUUAAUCUUAUCUUGGCUAAUCUUAUCUUGCCAACCAAAAAAAAUAAUGCGCGUACACGCAAGGCACGUGUUUCAGCCUUGAGCGAGUCCAUGUUAUCGUGCGAAGGCAGCAAAGUCAACUUUCUGUCUCUUUCACCAUUUUCUCCAUUAACAAAUGACAAUGCUUGAGACAAGACGACUUUCUUGCAAGUACUGGAAUGCGUCCAAAUAUCCAUAACUAAUCCUUCUUUGUUAUUAAGCAACACUAUUUUUUUUUUAAAUGAAGAAUCAAUUUAAUAAGUAGGAUAAAUUGCACUUCGCCCCCAAGAAAUUUCUAGUUUUUGCACUUUCCCCCUUACAAAUAAAAAAAUGAGACUUUCUCCAUUCCAAAUAUUAUUAUAGUUGCACUUUGCCCCAAAUGGGACUUUCCGGCGUAAUUUUUCACCCGUUUUCUCACGUCUCUGCCAACUGCAUUUUCAUCAUUUUUCACCAAUCCCACCCAAAUAUUAGUAUCCUUGAACAAAAAACCCAACCCAUUAUACAAUUCAUUACAUUAUUGCAAAACAAACAAAAAAUUACGUUUUUUCUCUCAACACAUUCCGCAGAUUGUGGUCACCAAAUUGUAAAAAUCUUCAAUUUUCUUCUUCGAUUACCAUUUGUUACGGCGAUCCCCUCCCAUAGAUUUAAAAAGUAUGAGUUGGAAACGAAGUGAAGGAAUGCACAAAGUGAACAAAGGACAUGCAUAUAACCCACAAAACCAAUAUGUGAUCGAUUUGUGUAACAAAAUGAAAAGAGGUAAUGUAUAAAACACAUAAAACCGACAUUCCAUGAUUUUCCUCGUCUAACAAAAUGAAAAGAAGGUCGAAAUUCAAACACCCAUAAAUCGUAGCUUUAACAAUUGAAUAUUAAACAUAAAGAAUGAAACACACAAAUAACCUUACCUUUGUCACAAAGUUUUUUGCCUUUAAAGAGAAAAAUAGAAUCCUAAUUUUGGAGCUCAAUUAUGUGAUUGUGGGUUAUAAAGAAUAAAAAAAUUGGGGAUUUGGGUGCAAAAUUGCGUAUAUACACUGAAAGGACAAAAAAUGCGCUUUAAGUUGACGGAGACAUGAGAAAACCGGUGGAAAAUACGCCGGAAAUUCCCAUUUGGGUCAAACUGCAAUUAUAACGAAAUUCAGAAGGGGAUAGUCUCAUUUUUUAAUUUGUAGGGGGGAAAGUGUGAAAAGUAAAAAUUUCUAAGGGGCGAAUUGCAUUUUGUCCUAAUAAGUAUCCACUUGAAUCUUCUGUUAGACAACUUCUUUUUUGAAAAGAUGCAUGCAUUUACUUUGAUUAACUCAACAUCUUCAUAGCUCUCCCUCAUACCUCAUCUUCUCAUAUUCCAAAGUUGAUCUGAAUAUUAGCGAAAAAGAAAAUAAUUCAUCGAAGUUGAUAUGAAUAUUGAUUUGUUCAGAAAUGGCAGAGUCGUCGUUCCUUCAAAUAAUUCUUGAAAAACUGAGCUCAUUGAUCCUUAAAAUAUUAGCGUAAAAUUAAUUUUAAAAACUUCAUUUCGGUCUUUCGAAAAAAUUGGGGGGAAUCUGUAAUUUUUAAAAUUUAUGUUAAAGGAUGACAAAUGAUACACCACUAGUAUAUCCAUUAUAUGCAAACAUAAGUUAAUUUACAGAUGAUUAAAAUGCAAAGACACAUUUAAAAAUCGGAAUAAUAAUCUGAAUAAAAAUCCGAAACAAUUACGCCGGUAAGUAUGUGCCAUAUGUUUAUUAAACUUCUAUUGUAUUUAGGGUAAAUAGCAUUUAAACCCCCGUGGUUACAAACUUUUGCAGAUGACCCCUUUUACUCGUAAUAUCAGCAUAUAAACCCCCUUGUGGUUUAUGGGAAGUUUCGGUUAGUUUUCCGUCAAACUUAACCACAUGUGUCAAACUUCAAGGGGGUCAUCUGCAAAAAUUAAAGGGAAAAUGAGAGUACAAGGGGGUUAUCUGCAAAAAAAUACUUUGACGUUUGACACACGCGGUCAAGUUCGACGAAAAAACUAAUGAAAGCUACCUCAUAAACCAAAAGCGGGUUAUGUACUUAUGUACUGACAUUACAAGCACAAGUAGGCCAUAAGCAAAAGCUUUUAAAUCACAGGCAGUUGAAGUGCUAUUUACUCCUAUAUUUACUAAAAAUCCGAGAUAAGCAAGUUGAUAAAUAAAAUAUUCGUUGUUAGAGUUGAUAUAUGGGAAAAAUACAGUUUUCGUCCCUCAAGUUUAAUUUGCAUCAAUUUCACAUUUGGUCCCCUCUGUUUACAAAAACACAUUUGGUCCCUCAUGUUUCAAAAAUUCAAUAUUUUUAGUCAUUUCCGUCAAUUUUUCGUAAGUAUUAAUGGAAUCAAGCGUGUGUACAUCACUGCCUUAACUGACGGACUAGCGGUAAAUUGACGGAAAUGACCAAAAUUGUUAAAUUAUUGAAACAUAAGGGACCAAAUGUGAAAUCGGUGCAGACUUGAAGGAUGAAAAAUGUAAUUUUUCCGUCGAUAUAUAUAUAUAUAUAUAUAUAUAUAUAUAUAUAUAUAUAUAUAUAUAUAUAUAUAUAUAUAUAUAUAUAUAUAUAUAUAUAUAUAUAUAUAUAUCACCACCUUUAUUUUUUUCUUUAAAUAUAUAUACUUCACAAAAAGAAUAUAUACCGGGUAUAUACGCAACGAACGUGUUAGAGCCUUGAACGUGUCCAUGUCAACUCUCUCUCUCUCUCUCUCUCUCUCUUACGCAACGAACGUGUUACGUGUCCAUGUCAACUCUCUCUCUAAUUUUGUAUUGGACGAUGCAAUAAACACUAUUUGUUAUUAAUCAAUGCUUUGAGCUGAAGACUUUUUGCAAGUAGAGUAGUGGAAUACGUCCAGAUAUUCAUAACUAAACACUAUUUGUUUUUAAUCUAGAGUACUUAAAUAUAAUCAACGUACUGUUCAAACAUAAAAAGGGAAAAUAGCAUUUGCGCCCAUGUGGUUUGAACUUUUUGCACUUGACUCCCUUGUACUUUCAAUAUAGCACAUAACCCCCUUGUACUUAAAAAAAGUUUCUUCCUAAUGUGCAGAACUAUUUACUAAGUGGAAUACCACAGGGGGUUAUGUACUUAUAUUAAAAGUAAAAAGAGGAUCAUGUGAACACAGCUCAAACAACAGGGGCUUAACUGCUAUUUACCAAACAUAAAAAAUCAGUAUUUUAUUGAAGUUGACAAUUGAAAUUUUCAGCCUACCACAAUAAUAUCAUUUCUAAUUAACAGAUAUACAAAAGAUACAUUUACUUUGAUAAAUCAAUCUCUGCACAGCUCUCCCUCGUAUACACACACAUCUUCUCAUAUUCCAAGCAAUUAACAAAAGUAAAUUUUGAAUUUUGGAUCUGUUCAUUAUGGCAGAGGCAUUCAUUCCAAUAAUUCUUGAAAAAGUGAGCUCGUUGAUCCAAGAUGAGUUUGGAUUGAUUACGGGUGUGGGUGAAGAGAUGAAUAAGCUCUCGAGCACCCUCACCACCAUUCAAUCCGUGCUCGAAGAUGCCGAAACGAAGCAACUUCAAAGCAAGGCCAUACUAAAUUGGCUAUUCAAGCUCAAUGACCUUAUCUACGAGAUUGACGACGUAUUGGAUGAGUGCGCAACGGAAUUCUCGAUAUUGGAGCACAAAAACAGCAAAUUCGGUCGAUAUAGCGUGAAGCACAUUUGGUUUCGACAUGAAGCUGGAAGAAAGAUGAAGCACGUUACCAAAAAAUUGGAUGAGAUUGCUGCAGAGCGUGCGAAGUUCCAUCUGCAUGAGAUGGCUAUAGAGAAGCCAAACGAGUUUGCUGCCACACGUGAGACUGGUUCCACUAUGAACGAGUCUCAUCUUGUUUAUGGUAGGGACGAUGAUACGGAGAAGGUUGUUGACAUCUUGGUCAACCAGGUCAACGGCAAUCAAGAAAUCUCCAUCCUCCCCAUAAUUGGCGUUGGGGGCCUGUUGGUCGAAAACCUACACGCAAGUGCACGUAUCGUACAAGUAAUAUAGUGGACAAUUAAGUCCGGAUAUCGAACCCACAGGGAAUAUUUAAUUAUCUAACCCUAGACGCUAAAUUCUACCAAUUAUUAUCAAGCCCACCCUACACAGUCGAAAGAUGAUUAAUAAACUAAUUUAAACUAAAGCAAUUAAAACGACAAAAACAAGAAAGCAAUUAAAACGAAGAUUUAAUCAGAUAAAACGAGCCUAGGAUUUUAUUCUUCCCCCUAUGUGAUUAUUAUUCCCCCAAUUCCUUCAAUUAUGCAAGCAAUUAACCCGGAUUAUUAACCUGAGAUGCUAAAAUAAUCAUAACCCGCUUCCGCGUGUAUUACGAUUCUAAUGCUCUAGAUUCAAUUACUAUAUUCCUAUGCAAUUAAUUCUAGAACACAGCAUUAAGCACAAAUCUCAAUAAUGGCUACCUAAGAGAUUAACUAUAUUCCUAUGUUAAUACCACAAAGGCUCUUCUACCACAGUUCUAAUUAUUAACCCGAUCUUCCGAUUCAUGCGAUUAACAAUAACAUAAAAGCACAUAAGUUGAUCAAGUUCAUGCACUUAAUAAAACAAGUAGAAGAAAUAAUCCGGAAUUAAAACUUGCAUAAAAUCAUAGAAAAAGGUUCAUAAAUCCCACAUAGGGUUCCAAAUAAAAUCCUAGAAAUAAAGACUUAGCUACUCGUAAUUCUUAUGAUAAAUAAAAUAAAAUAAAUAAAUUAAAUAAGAAAAACUAUGCUUGAAUCUUCGUUGAUCUUCUAUGCUCUUGAAUUUGCGUCCAAAGAUUGAUCCCUAAUUGUGUGCUUGGAAUGGUCUUAUAUAGGGUGAAGAACUUGGGGAAGAAGGCAGUUUCCUUGUGCGAUUAAAAUCCUUUUACUGCGCAAUUUCGGGUUAUGGGACGGGGGUCCCAUGAUUUGCACUAAAACUGGGACGGGGGUCCGAGCCUUGUUUCUUCAGAAUUUUGAUUUUUUCACUUUUGGCCCAUAUUUUCUCCAAAAUUGCAGUUUUGACCCCAUACUUUUCCAAUUCUUCAAUUUGUACCUACAAUACAAUAAAUCAACUUUUUAAGCACCAAUUAUCAUUAAAACACACCAAAAGCUCAAAUAAAAAGAUACGAUAAAGUGUAAAAAUAUACACUUAACACACCCCCAAACUUGAACUUUUGCUUGUCCUCAAGCAAAUAACUCAACUAUUACAUCUCAUCACAUAGAUCAAUGAUCAACUUCACGUUUUCAGAACUUGUAAUUAUAAUGACAAUUCUUAGGCAUUCGCAAGCUCAAAAUUCAACAACACUUAGUCACUCACCAUUACCAAAAACCACAAUUCAUACAAUUGCUUCAAGCAUCCAAUAUUUGCAAAUUAAAGAUAGAAAGAAUUUAUACUUACAUGCAUAUGCUUGACUCCAAAUACUCACCAAAUUAUUCUACUCUACUAAUAUCGAACAUUAAGCUAUUGGGAUCAUUGGGGCUUUGUGGCUUUCAAUUGUUAGGCUCUUUGGUUCGAGGUAGGAAAUAUGGGUAUGUGUGGCUAUUCUUCUUGAAUUUAGGUGAUUACGCCAAAAUUUGAAAGAUAGGCGUUUGAAACAAUGAAUUCACCUCUACGGACUUUAAUAAACUCGAUUCACAAAAGUUCAAAAGUCUCCACUUUUGCUUUUAAGGCUAUGGAUCGAGUUUUCAAAAAUAAUUCAACAACUAGUCCUUAUUUUUCCCUUCUAGUCUCUUCUUCUUCUUUUUUUUUUUUUUCUUCUUUUUUUUUUUUUUUUCUUUUUUUUUUUUCUCUUUUUUUUUUUUUCUCUUUUUUUUUUUUUUUUUUUUUUUUUUUUUUUUUUUUUUUUUUUUUUCGAAGAAGAAGGACCUUAAAUUUUUUAGACCGAACUCCAAGGGGUAAUUUUUCAAGAAUCUCCACAUAUUCUACCUUACACAUUGGCUAAAAGAAAGAACACCUUUUCUCCGAGGCUCAAAUCAAGGUUCUAAGGAAAAUUUCGAUAAAAAGGUCGGCUUGAAAGGCUCAAACGGUUCAAAGAAGGCCCAAAUCAUAUCCCAAAUCACUCACUACUCAAUACUUCGUAUCAUAAAUUUCCUAAGGUGUGUCUUAAAACCGAACAUAGCAUGAUCUAGCACAAAUUAAUUCCAAAUUUAAAAUACAAAACAUUCAACCAAAGCAAUGCACAAAGUGUGAUUCCUAGCAAUAAUUCGCUUCUAAGUUCCGUUGAAUCGAAAGCUACACAAACAUCUAAUCCUUAUCACAUAACACAAGCAAUUUCAUCAUCAAACAUUGAUCAUCUCUCAUCAUCAUAAAUCAUAGAUGCAUUCGACUCAAGCAUUUUUUUUUUUUUUUUUUUUAUAUUCCGAAAAAAACGAGAAAAACAAUAAAAACGAAUAAAACCUAAUGCAUGCAAACUAAAACAAAUAAGCACAAAAAUACAUGUUUUUCACCCCCAAACUUAAAAUUUUCGUUGCCCUCAACGAAAUUAGCACAAAGUUUAAGGAUAGAAAACACCUGAUUUAGUCGGAAUCGUCGUCAUCGGGGUAUGAGAAUUGGCGGGAGGGCAAAACGAAUUUUUAUUUUUUUUUUUUUUUUUCUGGUUGUGGGACGGGGGUCCCACAUUUACACCUAUUUGUGGGACGGCCGUCCCACAGGCAGUGGUGCAAUUUUUUUUUUUUUUUUUUUUUUUUUUUUUUUUUUUUUUUUUUUUUUCGGACGGCCGACUCGACCCUCGAUCACGUUUUCGACCCUGAAAAGUAAAAUUCAAAUAGUGAAUUAGAAUGCAUGCUUAUGACAAAAAAAAACGAAACGAAAAAAAAAAAUUUAACGAAAACUACGAAAAACAAUAAAGCUCGGGUUGCCUCCCGAGAAGCGCUAAGUUUAAAGUCUUCAGCCAGACUUUGCUUCUUGAAAUCGCUAUGUCCAAUCCAAAGCCUUGUAGAUUGCGCACCCAUCCAUGAGCUUUGUCACUUCAAUUGCAACCGAUACAGGGAUAGGAUUGCAAUAUGUCAGGGUCCACUUUAGCUUGUAAAUUUUCUUGGUUGUAAUCAAUCGGUACGAAGCCAAGAUGGGGUCUUCAUCACCCGCUCCCUCAAAUCGGUACACAAGAACCUCACGUCCGCGUAUAACCUCCACUUCAAACACAUUCGUCUUCUUAUCAACCUCUAUUGAUGCCUUCAAAGCCACGUCAGGAAUAACAAUAAGAUCAUCAAUUUGAAUAUUUGCACUAACCACAUCCAUCUCCUUCUUCUCUUGUUCCGAGACAUCUUUGGAGUUGAGCUCGAUUUCAUUGUCUGAUUCAUCAUCUUCAAGUGUCUUCGUAAUUUCUUUUUCCCUCUCAUCGACACUAUUUUCUAGGUCUAAAGGAUUUUUCUCAUCACAAGUUUCAGAUGGAUUUUCUUUGUUGCAACCAUUCUCGAUAUUGUCUGAAAUAUUUUCAAGAGACCUCUUGAGCUUCAUCUCUUCCAACAUUAUUUCAAGUCUUCGGAUAGAUGCUUGAGUGGAUUUCAUAAAAUCUUCAAGGAUGGAUUUCCUAUAACACUCCUCAAUAGUGGGUUCUCGUGGCUUUGCAUAAUAGGUUUGAAAAUCAUCAAAUUGCGGCUCACGAUGUUGAAAAUUGUGGAAAUCUUGGCUUGAAUUGCUCUGCUCGUACGUGUUGGUGUAUGUGUUCCGGUAACCGCCGUUGGUGUUAUCUAUGAAAUUAUUCGCUUUCGGUGCAUACCAACAUUGGUUAGUGUAAUGAUCUCCACCACAUCUUGAACAAAGUGACGACAUAUUAUAGGUAUUUUGGAGGUAUUCGCUAGACGGAAGCCAUUCAUAUCCCGUUUGAGGUGCGCGAAAAUUGUAACCUGACAUGUAACCCAAGAAAAAAAAUUAUAUUAAAAAAAAUUAAAACGAAAAGAUAAAAUAAAAGAAAAUUGGGUGAAUCGUGAAAAUUGUUCAAAUUUAGAGCUAGAAUAAAAUAAAUAAUUAAAAUAUUCCCCGGCAACGGCGCCAAAAACUUGUUGGUCGAAAACCUACACGCAAGUGCACGUAUCGUACAAGUAAUAUAGUGGACAAUUAAGUCCGGAUAUCGAACCCACAGGGAAUAUUUAAUUAUCUAACCCUAGACGCUAAAUUCUACCAAUUAUUAUCAAGCCCACCCUACACAGUCGAAAGAUGAUUAAUAAACUAAUUUAAACUAAAGCAAUUAAAACGACAAAAACAAGAAAGCAAUUAAAACGAAGAUUUAAUCAGAUAAAACGAGCCUAGGAUUUUAUUCUUCCCCCUAUGUGAUUAUUAUUCCCCCAAUUCCUUCAAUUAUGCAAGCAAUUAACCCGGAUUAUUAACCUGAGAUGCUAAAAUAAUCAUAACCCGCUUCCGCGUGUAUUACGAUUCUAAUGCUCUAGAUUCAAUUACUAUAUUCCUAUGCAAUUAAUUCUAGAACACAGCAUUAAGCACAAAUCUCAAUAAUGGCUACCUAAGAGAUUAACUAUAUUCCUAUGUUAAUACCACAAAGGCUCUUCUACCACAGUUCUAAUUAUUAACCCGAUCUUCCGAUUCAUGCGAUUAACAAUAACAUAAAAGCACAUAAGUUGAUCAAGUUCAUGCACUUAAUAAAACAAGUAGAAGAAAUAAUCCGGAAUUAAAACUUGCAUAAAAUCAUAGAAAAAGGUUCAUAAAUCCCACAUAGGGUUCCAAAUAAAAUCCUAGAAAUAAAGACUUAGCUACUCGUAAUUCUUAUGAUAAAUAAAAUAAAAUAAAUAAAUUAAAUAAGAAAAACUAUGCUUGAAUCUUCGUUGAUCUUCUAUGCUCUUGAAUUUGCGUCCAAAGAUUGAUCCCUAAUUGUGUGCUUGGAAUGGUCUUAUAUAGGGUGAAGAACUUGGGGAAGAAGGCAGUUUCCUUGUGCGAUUAAAAUCCUUUUACUGCGCAAUUUCGGGUUAUGGGACGGGGGUCCCAUGAUUUGCACUAAAACUGGGACGGGGGUCCGAGCCUUGUUUCUUCAGAAUUUUGAUUUUUUCACUUUUGGCCCAUAUUUUCUCCAAAAUUGCAGUUUUGACCCCAUACUUUUCCAAUUCUUCAAUUUGUACCUACAAUACAAUAAAUCAACUUUUUAAGCACCAAUUAUCAUUAAAACACACCAAAAGCUCAAAUAAAAAGAUACGAUAAAGUGUAAAAAUAUACACUUAACAGGGCCUUGGCAAGACGACUUUUGCUCAAUUAGUCUACAACGAUCAACGGGUCAUUAAACAUUUCGACAAACUAAUUUGGGUUUGUGUGUCCGACAAUUUUGAUGUGAAGACUUUGGUGAAAGCCAUGAUUGAAUCUGGAGGUGGAAGUGCUUCGGACUUGGUGCACUUGGAUGCUUUGCAGCGGCGACUCUGGGAGAUGCUGAACAACAAGAGGUACUUGCUUGUAUUGGAUGAUGUUUGGAACGAAGAUCAAGAGAAGUGGUUCGGGUUAAAAAAAGUUGUGGCACGUGGCUCAAUGGGGAGUUCAAUUAUCGUCACCACACGCCUAAAAAAGGUUGCUGAUAUAAUGGGAACACUUCCACCACAUCAAUUGGCAGGGUUGUCGGAUGAACAAUGUUGGAUGCUGCUCCAAGAACGUGCAUUCGGACAAGAGAAAAAUGAAUAUCCAAACCUCGAAGCCAUUGGUAAGCAGAUUGUGAGGAAGUGUGAUGGUGUUCCUAUGGCUGCUAAGGCGCUUGGAGGUCUGUUGCGGUUUCAGAGGAAAGAGACGGAGUGGAUUUAUGUGAAAGAAAGUAAAAUAUGGGAAUUACCUGAAACUCUGAUACUGCCGGCCUUGAGAUUGAGUUAUCAUCAUCUUCCUUUAUCAUUGAGGCAAUGUUUUGCCUAUUGUGCAGUCUUUCCCAAGGAUACUCGUAUUCGAAAAAAAGAAUUGAUCUUUAUGUGGAUGGCCCAUGGAUAUAUUUCAUCAAAGGGAGCAUUGGAAGUGGAGGAUGUCGGCGAUCAAAUAUGUGAUGAGCUAGUUUUGAGAUCUCUAUUGCAAUAUGUUAUCGAUCCAAAUCAAACAACUGUCGUUAUGCAUGAUCUUGUUCAUGAUCUCGCCGAAUCAAUCAUGGAGAACAAAAUUCCCGGAAUACAAGUCCAAAGGAAAGUGACAAGUGCAUCCAAUAGCAAAAUCCGCCAGGUAAAUCUGAGAGAAAAUUUAAUUGCGUUUCCUACGAGUAAUGAAUGUGAGAUGGACAUGUCUUUCAUUUUAAAUAACUUCUUACGUUUGAGGAUAUUAGAUGCAAAUAAGACAAGGAUAAAUGAAUUGUCUUCUGCGGUAGGCAAUUUGAAACAUUUGAGACACUUGAAUUUGUCCGGAACUGAAAUUCGUACAUUGCCCGACUCAUUAUGUGGUCUCUGGAAUUUGCAUGUUUUGAAUUUGGAUGAGUGCAAAAAGCUUGAGGCUUUACCAAAGAAGAUGAGGCACUUGGUUAAUCUCCGCCAUCUAUGUCUGAAAGAUUGUAAGUCACUAACGGAGAUGCCACCUAAAAUUGGAGAACUUACUUGCCUUAAAACAUUGAGUCGGUUCAUAGUGGGUCGUGAUAGAGGUAAUGGACUCGAGGAAUUGCAGUGCUUGAACCUUGGUGGCGAGCUUGGACUUCAUCAUCUGGAGAGAGUGAAAAACCCGAUGGAUGCAAAGAAAGCAAAUCUUGCUGAGAAAAAGAACCUUCGUCAUUUGAAGUUGGACUGGGAAUUGUAUUCAAAGGAAGAGAAUAUAGAUGAAGAGGUGUUGGAAGCACUUGAACCUCCCCCAAAUCUUGAAACUCUAUUGAUAGAAGGAUUCAGGGGUACGUGUUUUCCAGUUUGGAUGUCAAAUUCGACUAUGAAGAAAGUAGUUCGAAUUGAUAUAUCAAGCUGUGAGAAUUGUAUGCAUCUUUCGCAACUGGGAAAGCUACCUCAUCUUAAGUACUUGCGUUUAAACAAUCUGGCUCGGGUGGAGUACAUUAUUGAGGAUCAAAGUGGAAAUCCAUUAACAAGUGUACAACAGUUCCCAUCUCUGGAAAGACUGGAUUUACAGUACCUCGACAAUCUCAAAGGGUUGUUAAAACAGCAAGUGAUGACGGGAUCAGCUGAAGCAUUCCCAAAUCUUGAGCAGCUAGAGAUUAUACUUUGCAAUUCAUUAAUAUUGCCACCACUCUCAUUAUCUCUUAAAAAGUUGAAGAAAUUGAAAUGCGGUAGCUUACAUCUGGCUUCAUUGUCUAAGCUGGAAGUUGUUACCGAUCUAAAUGUGAACUUCUGGAAUAGGUUUACAUGCAUUACAGUUGAGACACUGCAAAGCCUCACCAAUCUCAAGACAUUGGAGAUUUCCAAUGCAGAAGAUAUGUCUCUGCAAGAAGAAGGGAUGCGAGCAUUGAAAUCUCUAACAUAUUGUGAGAAACUGACGUGUUUACCUGAAGGGUGGUUGCGGCACCUCACUGCUCUAGAGGAACUACAAAUAAUCGAAUGCCCGGAAGUUGUAGAGCUGCCAGAGGAGGAGGUUAAAUACCUCAAAUUCCUUAAAAAAGUCAACCUCCGUGGGCUUCGAAAGAUGGUGUAUCUACCCAAGGCCUUGCAACACCUCGCAUCUUCACUCCAACGUCUAAGCCUAAACAACCUUCCUCAGUUGAGUUCACUGCCGGACUGGUUAGGCGAUUUCACAUCUCUUGAAGAGUUGACUAUUAUAAAGUGCCCAAAGGUAACAUCACUUCCAACUAGAAUCCGAGGAAUGACAAAUCUCCAAUAUCUAUGCAUCUGGAGCUGCCCGGAAUUGAAAAAGAACUGUGAGAAAGAAAAUGGGGAGGAUCGGCACAACAUACAACACAUUCCCAACCUGUUCAUUGGUUAACCAUUAUGAUUACUGUAAGUAAUUGGAAGUUUGGAUUGUUACAAAAUCAUAUGUUAUAUUUCUCGAUUGCUGUAAUGUAUGCUGAAUAAAGAUGUAUAUACAAUGUUUGCCCAGAAAGGUUUUUUUCUUCCCUCAUUUUCCCUACUCUUGUAACUGCUUUCAUCUUCUCUAUUUCCACUCUGGUUUUCCAAACUCUUCUUUUAAAAAAUUGGUUGCACAGUCAUCUUCUUUCCGUAGCAGCCCCACCACACCCAUCAAAACUCUUUAUCCAACCAACACUCCGCCGCCGCACCACCACCACCUCCACCUCCACCCACCCAAAUAUGAAAUGGGUUCCCAAAAAUUCUCCGGCGACGAUCGCGAAAAUGGGCUAAUCAGAUUGUCUCUUUCUUUGAAUGCAAAAAUCCCAUAAAUUUGUCAGUUCAUUUUUCUGUUGAUGUCGGCGAGUAAAGUGGCGGUGGUUUUGCAGAGGACGUGGUGGAGGAUGUUGCUUUUGGGGGUGGGGUGAAGAAGAGGUGAUGGACUGAAGUGAAAAUUUUAUAAACUUCAUUUCGGUCUUUUCAAAUUAAUUGGGGGAAUCUGUAAUUUUUAAAAUAUAUGAUAAAGGAUAUUUUUGUCUUUUUACGAAAACUAUGAAAUUUACCCACAUUGGGACAACUUUGCAAGUACAAGGGGUUAAACGAUCCAAUCGAGAGUUCAAGGGGGUAAAGUGACUUCAUACCAGAGGAUAUUACCCAUGUGUAAUAUCUAAUUGCUGAAAAACAUUCGUGAUAAAAAUAUUAGCUAAAACUCCCCAAUAAAAAUUAGUCAAAGCCAUUAAGGCCCCUACGAGUUGAAUGUGUGUGCACGUGCAGAUUUUGCGAGACUUGGGUUAUGUUUUUUUUUUAUCUGAAAAGACUAAAAUACCCUUUAAAACACAUAUUUAGAAAAUUAUAAAUUCAUCUUAUAAUUUUCGUAAGACCAAAAUAAAAGUUUCAUAAUUUUCUUUUAUAUUUAAUAUAAAAAUAUAUUUCAUUAUUUAAAUUAAAUUUUUUUUUUAGAAAAUUAUUAAAGGUAAUUUUGUCAUUUCAUUUAAGUGAAAAACCAAAUUUAAUGUAAAGAGUUGUUUGCUUUGUAAAACGUAACAUAGGGUGGUUAUUGUUAAUUUUUUUAACAUGAAAGUGUUUUCGACAAUUAGAAAUUACGCAGGGAUUCUCUUAUAAUAACUCAAAAAGAAAAAGUAGUGUGCUAAAACAUCAAUAUUUUCUUGCUAUUUCUAAUACCACAAUAAGUUGGUUUGUGUUUGGAAGGAAAGCCCAUGUACAAAAAAAAUUGUGGCAUUGGGCCAAUGUUUCGAGCAUAAGAGGAUAUAGUCAUACAAUUCCAAUUAGUGUUUUGAAACCCAAAUCGAAUCGAUCGGUUAAACCGCAAAUCGUUGUCUUGUCCGGUUUUGUUUGAUCGGUUGGACCGUAACAUCGGAACCCGAGUGAAAAUCAGGGUCCAUGUAAACAAAAGUGAAAUUUAACCAAAAAAACAAAAAACAAAAAAGAAAAAAACAAAUAAAUCCUGUGCGGCGCUUGUGAUUAUUAAAAAUUAUUGUUGAGAUUUACAAUAAUUGAAAAAUAAAGAAAACGAUCAAAUUCCCAAAAUACUUGAAACUCAAACAGCCGCACUCUUCUCCAAAGCGCGUAGCUUACACGAAAUGUCACGCAAAUCAACUCUGCAAGAAGGAUUCUCCCACUGCACAACUUCUUUAACCGCCUUCUCAAUCUCUCUCGUCUCUUUCAAAAUCCCAUGCAUGCAGAAAACAACCGAACUCAAACUCAAUAUCACCUGAUUCUUCAGCAGAUAGUCUUCCCCUAUACACCCAACAAGCCCAUCCAAAUUCUCGAGAAACGAAUCGACGCUCUUCUUGAUCUCGUCGUCGCUCGCUUCCGUCCACUGCAUCGCGUACCGCCUCCCCGAUUUCCCCAUCUCGAGAUCGACCGCGCUUUUCCGCUUCCCGUACUCCUUCUCGAUUGCCGCGAUCGAAUUUACCAAACUAACCUCCUCGAAGCACUUGAUCCCCGAGCAAACCGCGUCUUUGAGCAUGUUGAGAUCGCUCUCCAUUUUCGCUGCGGCCACUUUCCAUACCCCGCCGUCGAUUGCUUUCGACUCGUUUUCGAGGAAUUUAAGCGCGCAGCUCCCGAAAAGCAAUAGAUCCACCGUCUUCGAAAGCGACGCCUUUAACUUACUAUAUCCACCACUAUGGAAAGGCAAGAACCAGAAGUUGGGCUCCACGUCAGCUUCCUCGAUGAAUUUCCCGAGCUCGCUCACUUCGAAUUUCAGCUUCUUCGUCGUUUCUUCGAAGCUGAAUUUAUUCGAGAAGCUGAGAUCGACGAAGCCGACAGAAUCGUGCAACGCCUUGAGGCUCUUCGUGAGCUGGACUUUCGCCAAAACCGAAGCCCUCGUAGGCUGCAAGAGAAUAUCCACCAUAAUCGAACAAGUUAACCCGAUGAACGUUUCCACGAUCCUGGCGAUAGCGAAAUCGCUCGGCGUGCCGAAAUUCUUCCUCCCCAAAAUCAGCACCGCACCGAUCACCGCGGAAACUCCGCCAGCCUGGCCGUACAUUUUGCUCUGCCGCAAGAAGCUGCAGAAAAUAAACCACGGGAAGAGAGAAACGAUUCUGAUUUUGACGUAUUUCUCGAAAACGAAGCAGCCUAUUACUCCGUACACAGUUCCGAUAACCGUGCCUUGUGCUUUGAUGUUCGCCACUUUGAACGUUGCCUCCCUCGAUGCCGCCAGGCUUAUCGCUACCGGCAGGCCGGACCAGAACCCGUCUUCCUUGCUAUAUAUCGAUCCGAAAAAGACCGCAAACCCUAACGAAAGCGCGCAUUUUAGAGCGGGCAUUAGUCUUUUUUUGUUAAUGGUGAUCGGGUUGUAAUUACUCCAUGAUUCUUUCUUUUUCGGGGAGUUAAUAUUAUUCGGUGCUUGUGACGAUUUUGUUUGGAGGAGUUUGAGGCAGAAAAUGAAGAACAAAGAAGGCAAAUCUUUGAAGCUAAUCGACGGGAUUAUCGUGUUCGCGUGAAGUGUUUGGAGGAACUUGUUAUUAUUGCCCUUUAAUUCUGCUUCUUCGUUCGAGUUUUUCGGCGACAUGCUUUUGACUUGGUUCAAUAUUUGCUCCUCUAAACCAAUUAAAUCUUUUUUGAGCUCGGAAUUCAGUAGCCCGACUUGAAACUCGGAGCAGUUUUCGAGACCGUUCUCCAUUCCUCUCAAGAUUGUUUCGAGCCCUUGUAACGUUUCCCCUGGAUUCUCGUCGUGUGAUUUGAAAAACCUCGUCGGUAUUAUUUCCCACUUCAUGCUUUCCUGCGGAAAGAAUUUUCGAUCUUCGAUUAGUAUAAGAGUGUAUGUAAUAUUUAACUAAUUAACCGAUGAAUAUGUAACGAAAAAGAUCGAUGCGUAAAUUCGCUUACUUGUUUCGAUUUAAUGCUGUGGAGAAGUUUAUUUCCUGUUUUGUUCAAAGACUUGGCUUGUGAGAUUAAGGCCUUGGGUGAUGACUUGUCUUCUGCUGAGAAGGCCUUCACAAAUAGCUUUAGUCUUUCUGAUGCAUUUUCUAUGUACAAUUUGCAAUUUUCUCUCACCUGAAAUUGAUGAGGGAUAAAAAUGUCAAUUUACAUUUUCGAUUCAAGAGAGGGCCUACUAGGGUUUUAUAUAUAUAUAUAUACAUGCAAACUCCAUGCAGCACUAGAAGUUGUCCAUGCAAGUUGGUUUGAUUAGUUAUAUAUAUAUAUUAUAUAUACAUACCUCACAAAAGGCCAAGCUAGGAUAAGGCAACAACAAGGCCAAAACACAAGCCGCCACCCCAAGUGCGGUGCUCGCCGCGACACGAAUCGGGUGCAUAAUGGGCUCCGUCUCCGCCCCGUUGAUAAAAGCGAUAACGUACACGAUCACAAUCUGCCCGAGCGCGAUGCGCUUCGAUAUCAAGUGGGUGUUCUCCGGCAGAGCCACCACGAAGCCGCUGAUCGCCACCACCACGGACGUGGUGGUGGCGGUCAGACGCUCCGGCCCGAUCAGCCACAGGCUGAGGAUGGCCGGGCAGACGCCCUGCACGGUGGCAUACACCGCCAUCCAGCAACCGCGCAGGGUGUCCCCUAGAGUCGCGUCCGUGACUAUGAGAACCACCGUCACGUACGAAAAGGCCGGGAACGCCACCUGGCGGUUGAAGGCCUUCGGGCCGAAGAGGGUGGCUAGGCCCACUAUGGUGCAUGCCAGGGAGGUACGGAAGGCCGAGCCGAGGCACCGCCGCCACAUGGCUCUUGCUCGGUCGUCGGAUUGGAUUUGUGAAGUGGUCGCCAUUUUUUUUUUCUUCUUUUUGGCUAAUUAUUUUCUUCAAGUGUUGGAAAAAAAAUGGGGAUGUAAUAUCUUGGAGGAGAGAUGAAUUAAGGGGGGUUUUGUAAAGGAGAGAGAUUUGGUUGUUUGUGAUCUUUGAUGAUGACAAAGGGUCAAUUUUGGACGUGGCGAAAGUUCUAAAAAAACAACAUAUUUUAGUGCGAGAAGUUCGUUAAAGCAGAUGUUUUCUUUCUUUUUUUUUUUAGCUUUUUUGCAUCUGGGAUUUUCAUGGAAUUUGAUAUACAUAUGUUAGUGCGCUUAUAUUAGCUUAUGUAAGCAUAUGUAUAUAUAGACUAUAGUAUUAAUACCAUAAAGCUUAGUCAUGGAUUUCUUUGGUGGAAGCAUGUGUGUGUGUCUCGGUAUGUGCAAUUAUACAGGGUAAAUUACGGCCACAUCUGAGGUAAGGUUAAACUAUGAAAAUACCCUUUUGUUUGGGUAAUUACAAUCACUGCAUCAACUAUGAAUCUUCUUAUAUACGUUCACUCGAUCUUAUGGUGUCAAAUUCAACAUAAUCUUAUGGAUUCCGUGAAAUGUUCUCUAGUGUGUACUCGUUUUGUGGAAAAAUUCAGUUUCUGAUGGACUACAAUUUGAUAUUUACAAGCUAAAAAAACGCAUCUUAUGAUUAUCUUGUUUUAUAAUGUGGAGCUCGAAUGGGGUAACAUGGGUACAAACUGAUGAAUAUUCCACGUAAUCUAGAAAAUUUCACUAAAUUUGACACUGCACGGAUGGACGUGUAAAAAGAUCAUAGUUGAGGGAGGUGGUUGUAAUUAUCCAAAAUGAGGUGAUUUUUCGUAUACCUCCGUAAUUUACCUUAUAUUUUGAUACUUUUACUAUAAUCCUUUAUAUAUGCAAGCAUAUGUGUACCAUAAAGCUUAGACGUGGAUUUCUUUGGUGGAAGCAUGUGCGUUUCAUAAUCACUGGUGAUUCUACCUAAGGGUUAGCCCACCCUAUUCCAAUUCUUUGGAUACAUACUACAUGUUAGUUAAUUUACCUAACCAUCCAAUUUAUACUAUAUACUUAGCCUAUUUCUAUACAUAACUAUAGUUGAAGCCUAUAAAAUGCUUUAAAAUUUGACAAAAAUACGCCAAAAUUUAAUAGACUACAUAAUUUUAGUUGAAACCUAUGAAAAUGCAUUAAACUUCGACACGAAUACACCAAAUUUCAGACGACAUAGUCUCAAAGAAAUCGAUUAGGAAAUUUUCUUUUCCAACAUUAGUAUUCUAAAUAUAAGGGUACGUACAAAUGUGAAAUCCCUCGUCUUUAAGAUAUUUUUUGUUUCGAGUACUUGCAUUAAUUUUAUAACCGCAAAGUUUUCUUCUUUCUUUUUUGAAUCACUUUAAUUAUACCCUUUGUCUCUACAAUUUUUUUCUUUUUUGAAAUAUAUUUAGGAAGUCAUUAGUGGCACCAUUAGCUUGUUGAUGACUGGUUACUAAGAAAUUAUAGUUUUCUAUCUUGUUUAUAGAAAAACUAAAUUUUAUGUAAAUACUCGUUUAAAUCAAAGAAUUCUUGUUAACGCAUUUAAAAUAUUUACUUAUAUAUACACUUUUAUUUUCAUAUAUGUUAAUACGUCUAAAAAUAGUUCGGGGGAUUUUUACUUAGAUUUUCACUUCCGGAAAAGUUUGGAUUUUUUUCUUCAAAAGAUACUAAUUCAGAUCUGAUCCGUCCGAAUUUUAUCCCUAAUAUUCGUACGUAAUUAACCAGAAUUCUCCUAUCAAAAAAGAGUCAAAAGAGGGUGGAGAAUGUAUUUACAAUAUAUAUAUUAAUUUUCUCAUCUACCCACUUUUUCUUGGAGUAGUAACUAAAUAAAUAAAUAAAUAUAAUAUGAAAAAGGAAGAGAGGAGGAUUUCCAGGCAAAACAUGCAGCAGUUCUUUUCUGACCUUACAUUGUGGGAUCCCACGCCAUAAAGUGUGUGUGUGUGUGUGUGUUUGUGUGUGUGAAAUUGUUUAUACAUAUAUUGCACAAAGCAAAAUCUUGGUUGGAUGGCUUUGGAUUAUAUAAUAUAUUAUAUAAUACGAACUCCAAUCUAAUGUUUGUCAUUAGGCCUAAUUAAAUUAAGUAAGAUAAUUAAGAAAAGUAAAGUUUGUACUACUGCUCUUUGUUUCUUUUGUAUAAAGGUUUGAAUUUGGAGCAAUGAGGAGAUAGUAAUAAUCUAAUUCAUAAUUAGUUGGAUUAAGGUUGUCUGAAUAAUUACACCUAAUUCCUAAAUCUUAUAUAGAUUUGUAUCAAGGAAGUACUUAAUUUGGUUAAAGUUGGUAAAGUGGCUGCAAAAGAUCAGUCUUUUGGGUGAAAGCAAUGAAAUGAAAUGAUAAUUGCACAUGUUGAAAAUAUUGGAGAUGAACACUAGCUAGUAGGUGAAAGAAAAAUGAAACUUAAAAAAUAUUCAAGAAAUUUGAAUAAUAACUCUUUUCGUGUCAAAAAAUUUGUCGCUUUGGAAUUUACACAUAUAUUAAGAAAAUGGGGAGUUAGAUGCUACAUCUAAUUAUUUAGACCGAGUGAAUUUGAAUCGUGGAUUUGAUUAGAUAACGGGAAAAUUACAGUUUUCAUCCCUCAAGUUUGCAACGAUUUAACAUUUGGUCCCCCAUGUUCACAAAAAACACAUUUGGUCCCUUAUGUUUCCAAAAUUCAAUACUUUUAGUCAUUUCCGUCAAGAUCCCGUCAAGUCAUUACGGAAUCAAGCGUGUGCCCAUCACUGCCUUAACUAACGGAUUAACGGUAAAUUGACGGAAAUGACCAAAAAUAUUAAAUUAUUUGAACAUGAGGGACCAAAUGUGUUUUUUGCAGAUAUGAAGGACCAAAUGUGAAAUCGGUGCAAAUUUGAGGGAUUAAAACUUUACUUUUCUCAUUAGAUAACUACUCACUAAGCACAUAUACACACACGUGUAUGUGAAAUUUUGUGUAGAUUUAAUGUUUAAAUCCAUGAAGUGUAAAUAAUCAGGUAUAACAUUUAAUUCUCUUAAGAAAACUAGUAACAUGCAGAAAAAUAAUAUUUUGAAGGAACAAGAUACAACAAAAUAACAUUUAAAGGGGCAAUGUGCAACCAAAACACUCAAUUCCAGUGAAAAAUCCAUUGAAAUUUUGCUAUCGGAGCAAUGUGCAACAAAAAUAACAUUAUGAAGGGGGUAUUUACAUUUCCAAAUUUUGAGAGGUAAAGUGCACAAAUUAAAAAUUUAUAGGGGGUGACAUGCAAAUUACACUUAAAUAAAUGAAAUGAAAUAGGGAAAUAGGAAAAAAAAAAAACAAAAUAAAGGUAGUGGUGACCCUCUCUUAAAUGAAUUCCCCCUAUGUCACACUCCAUUUUCUAGCACAAACGCGACACUAAAAAAGAAGAAAAAAAAAUGUUUGAGAAAUUGAUGAUUAAUCGUGAUUGUGAUGUAUGCAAAUUAGGAUACCCCAAAAAAUCACGAUGUGUUGAAAAUUGUACCAUCGUCACUUACUUUUGAGUGCAUCUCAUCAUCCCAUCACCGUACCUAAUUUGAUGUGGAUCCAACUUAUUAUUUUCACAAAAAAAAAAAAUUAAAAAAAAUAUAGAUGUAUAAAGGCAAAUUGCACUUGACCCCCUCAAAAGAAUCAUUUUUUGCACUUUCUCGGCUCAAAAAAAAAAUGAGAUUGUCUGCCUUCGAAAUAGGACAAAAUGCACUUUGCCCCCAAUAAAUUUCUGUUUUUCGCACUUUCCCCCCUAAAACUAAAAAAAAUGGAUAUUCCACCUUCGAAAUAUUAUAUUGAUUGCACUUUGGCCUAUAAGCCAAUUUUUUUAGGGCAUUGUGCAACAAAAAUAACAUUUUAAAGGGGCAAUGUGCAAAAAAUAAUGUUUUAAGGGGCAACUUGCAAUAAAAAUAACAUUGAAAUGGACAACGUGCAACAAAAAUACUCAAUUCUGAUGAAUAAUCCAUCGGAAUUUUACUAUCGGAGCAAUGUGUAAUAAGAAUAAUAUUUUGAAGGGGGGCAUUCACUUUUAAAAAUUUUGAGAGGGUAAAGUGUGAGAUUAAAAAUUUACAGGGGGUGAUGUGCAAUUUUCCCUUCGAAAUAUACGACUCGGUGCACUUUGCCCAAAUGUGUAUUUCCGGUCUAAUUUUCGCCAAAUUAAAGGUGGAUAUGUCAUUUUACCUUUUCAGCUUGAAAAUCCUCCAAAUUAACAAAAUUAUCUUCCCAAUUUGAUGAAAUUGGCUUCGAAAUUAGAAAAAAAUUAUCUUCCCAAUUCAAUAAAAUUUAUUAUUUGUUCUUCAUAAUCAUCGUAAGAUGGGGUGAAAGAUGUUAAACGACAUUUAAAGUCUUAAAAGACGAAAUUGCCCUUCCAAUUAACUCAAAUCCGACAGGAAUUAGACCGGAAAUACAUAUUUGGUGCAAAAUGCACCGAGUUAUAUAUUUCGAAGGGGGGCAAUCUCGCUUUUGUAAUUUAAGAGGGGAAAGUGCAAAAAUGAUUAUUUUGAGGGGGCAAAGUGCAAUUUUCCCUAUUUUUAGUAUUAUGACAAAUUACGGUCACCUAUCUGAAGUAAAGUUAAAUUACACAAAAAAAUCCUAUUGUUUGGAUAAUUACAAUCGCACCCUUCAACUAUUCAUUCUUAUACGUCUACUUUUACGGUGUCAGAUUUACCUAAUUUAAAAGUGUUUUUUUCGUAAGACGAUACAUAGUUGAAGAGUGACUGUAAUUAUUCAAACACGAGAGGUUUUUUCGUAAUUUAAUCAUAUUUCAGGGAUGGCCGUGAUCUGCCCUUAAUAUUAUUAUGUUGUCCUCCACAAUUGCUGUGAUGGGACAACUAAAUUUUGAGUUGCAAAUGAGUUUGUUUGUCUGAUGAUGUCAUGAUCUGUGUAUUUGUUCGAACCUCGAAAGGUCACAAAACGUUUUUCUGCAAGAAAAUAAAAAUCUGAAAAGAAAUUGAAGUGGAGCCAUUUGAAUAUUCAUGACAAGAUUGAUCCACACACUGGGGCUGUGUGUGUGUGUGUGUGUUUUAACCAGUAAUUGCAAUCAACAUAAUUGUUUUAUUUUAUUUUAUUUUGGGAGCCACAAGUAUAUCCAAAGUGGGUUCUGAUUCAGAUUCUUGCAUUCAAGAAACUUGUGGCUGAUUGGCAGCCAAAGGAUAAGGAGUUUAGUAAAAAUUGGAAUAAAUAUAAAAUGUAGUAUGUAUGAAAAUUAGGUUCUUACUUAGGUGUCAGUGUUUGCAAAAGCUCGUUUAAAAAUAAAAGUUAAAAAAUAAAAGUUAAUGAUUGUAAGUUAUAUUGGGAUUAAGCGUUUUUUUAAGAGUUGGGGUGUUCGCAAAUUUAGUUGGGAAAUCAACUUAAAUAGAUCAGAUACAUCGUUGCUUUUUCAAGUUAUAGUUGAAAAAACAGAUUAUGUAAAUCAAAAAACUCAUAAUCUGUUUCUAAAAGUUUUUGCAAAUGCCACCUUAAAAGACAUGAUCGAUUUUGGACGGCGAGAACUUGUUUUGGUCUCAUACAUUUACUUCUGACUACUCAUGCAAUAACAUUUUGAUUAUGGGUGAAAAUUCUAAUAUAAAUUUGAAUUCCACAAACUCCUAUUUGGAAAUUUUCGAUUUCUGAACAUUGCUUACUAUUCUAGAUUUAUUCUGAUUUCCCAAUUUUUUUUUUUUUUUACUUUUUAUUUUUGUAUCAGAAUUGGCGUAUAUAUGAGAUUCCAUAAUGUCGAUCGACAUUAUUAUUUAUUUUGCAUUGUAGGAAUAUUAUUAAAUUUACAACUGAUUAAUUUACAUUUUUCAUAGGACGGAUUGGAUCGGAAUUAACAUUUUAUGUCAGAAGUGAAAAAUUAAUUCUAAUUUCGUUCGAACAAAUUCCAGAAAAUCGGAAAACAAAAUUUUGGAAAUAUGAAUAAAAGAUUUUUUCUAAAAUUUGAAAUUUUCAAAUCUAAAUCGUCGAAAUUCACAAAUUUUAUUUUUCAUUCACCAAUAAAAAAUAGUACAUAAUAAAAUUAUAACUAUAAAUGUACUUUAUGGAAACAAAUCGGAAUUUUAGAAAAUUAAAAUUGAAUUGGUAACCCGAAAUAAAUCAAAAAUUAGCACAAACCCGCUUAUGAAAAUUAGUCAAAGGCAGUAAGGACCCUGCGAGCCCGAAGUCGUAUACACUCGCGGUUUGUGUGACUAGGCUUGUAUUUUAGGACUUGAAAAGACCCUAGUACCCUUUAUAUUAGAAAUUUUAAAAUUCACAAAUUCACCCCAAAAUUUUCAUAUACCCGAAAUGAAGUUUUCAAUGUUUCUAAAUUCAGACCCUAGUACUUUCAGAAAUGCCUCUUCAAACUCAAGAUUCAGCCUUUUUUCUUUCCGGCCCCAAAAAAAUCGUCUUCGCCACACCAUUUCAGAAGAUUUGGACCAUAAAUAACUCAACCCGCAUCUGCAGUUAUACAAAUUAUCCAUAUUAUCACGAAUCGCAAUACACCGCACUAAAACGAAUUUUUUUAAUUAGUUUUCCAAAUGAAGAAGUUUGUUUGGGGUGGGGAGGCGGAUGUGCUGCUGGUGCGGCGACAGAGGUCUGUGGAGGGGGGUUGCGUUGGGGGUGGGUGGAGAAGGUGUUUUGGGUUUAUUUGGGAAGAUGGCUUUUUAGAAAAUAUUGGGGAUUGAAUUGAAAAUUUUGAGAACUUCAUUUUGGGCCUUAUUAAAAUUAUUGGGUGAAUUUAUAAUUUGUUAAAGGAUAUUUGAGGGGAAAAUUACAUUUUAUGUCCCUAAACUAUACCACUAAAAUGAUUUUUGUCCUCAAACUUUUACAUCCACGAAAUAUAUCCUCAAACUUGCCACUUUUGACAAUUUGUGUUCGGCCGUUAACUUCGGCAGUCAGGUUAAAUGGAAUGUCACAUGUGGCACCCGUGAUAUCGACCUGGCUGUUAAGAUUGAUCUGGCUUACACCCUACAUCGAUUUCGCCGAUUAAAUAUGACGUGGAGUGACACAUCAUUCUCUCCCCCUAUUUCAAUUAUGAAAUCCUUAAUUUCUAAUUACGUACCCCAAUUCACUGAACCUGAACCUGAUCAGAUAAACCCUAAUUCCUCGUAGAAAUCCUCAAAUUGAGGUGAAAUUCGGCAUCAACAAGAUCGCCUAAUCCUAAUUUCGCAAAUAAUUGAACAUUAAUGGAAAGGAAGCAUCACAAAUCGACCAACAAUCUCCAAUUUUAGUAAGUUUCUUCAAAGUUCUUAUCUUUGAACUUAGGUUUUGGGAAUUUGGGACUUGUUAUGGGUUUAUGACUUUGAACUCCGUAUGAUUUCGAACAACUUUGAAGACCUGAUUGUAAAUUUGGGAGUGUGUUUACGGGAAUGAAAGAAGUUUCCAGGUUUGAUGGCUAGGGUUUCAGGUGUGAAGAGUGAAGUGAAAACUGGGGAUCUGGGAAAUUUUGGAAUUAGGUUUACAUCAACUGAUUUGUGUGCCUGCUCAACAUUUGACGGCCACGUGCGCCCCACGUGACAAUUUGACUGACGAAUUUAACGGCGGAACACAAACUGUUAAAAAGUGGCAAGUUUGAGGACAUAUUUCGUGAAUGCAAAAGUUUGGGGACAAAAAGUAUUUUAGUGGUAAAAUUUAGGGACAUAAAAUGCAAUUUUCCCGAUAUUUGAGUAUUUUCGCGUCAAAAAAGACACAUCCAUUCGCACAUUUCACGCGUGCUACACACGUUCGCCUCCCAAGGUACCUUAUUGCCUUUGACUAAUUUUAAUAGGGGGUCUUUGCUAAUUUUUUUAACAUAACGGUUUUUUUAGGAAUUCGAGAUUCCACAAGGGUGGUUUUUUCAAAAAAACUUAUGUUCUCAUUAUGUUUAUUUAAAAAUACAAAUAUUAAGGAUAGUUCAGUCAUUUCGUGGAAAUCAACGACCAAUUUCGAAAAAAGAGACAGUGUGCUUUGUAAAUCAUAACAUAGGGGGUUCUUUGCUAAUUUUUUAACAUGAAUGUUUUUCCAGCAAUUCAAAAUUACACAAGGGUUCUGUGCAAUUAAAUCAACUAUAUAUAUCUGGUUCCGUGCGAUGAUUAGGAUUCUUCUUUAUAUAAUUAGCCCAUUUUCUACAAUGACCAGAGUCCUUUAAUUGUUCGUAAAAGAAACAAAGGAAUUAGGGAAUAGAUAAAUGAUCUGACUUCUUCGGUUCAAAUUUCGAAAAAAACGGUUGAUCGGAAUAUUUAAAUAGUUAACCAUAGAUUUAAGAAUGAUUACAUAACUGAGAACUUGUAUUUCAUCAUGUGCAGAUGAGAUGAGUGGAGUGGGGAGGAAUGCAAUCGUAUAAACGUGAAUACCCGCAGUCACACUUACUAUUCGAGGAGAUGUAAAUCGAAUUUAACAAAAUUCGAUUCUCUUCUAGAUGAAUUGGUGUUCGCGAUUUUUCUACUUCUCUCAUCUAUAUAUAUUUGUAAGAGAUUUUAACAUGUAGCACCCGGUGUAAUCUCUAAUGGCUAAAAAUGCCCCUAUAUCAAAACAAUUAGCACAUUCCCCCAUGUGCAUAGUCAACGCCAUUAAGGCCCCUACGAUAUUGUGUGAUACACUCACCAAAUAUGCAACUGGGAUUUGAUUUUUUUGAAGUGAAAAGACCCAAAUAUUGUACAUUUAAAAAACAAGCCCCAAAUAAAGUUUUUAAUUUUUUCAAUUCAGUCCCUUAAAGUUUCAGAAAGACCCUCUUCUUCCUUAAGUCAGGGUUUGAUUUGCAACUUUCCAAAAAUACACUGAAUAUAGCUUACCGCCGCUCUUUUUCCGGCAAACACUCUCUCCGGCCUCACCUCCCUCCAUAUCCUCAGCCUCCGCUUUCCCCCACCACUCCAACAUUUUCUCCAACGAAAUUAGGUUCGGUUUGGAGUUAAGAUUCAAGCUCCUUAUUCUUCUGAAAAAUCCAUCACCAACCUGUGAAAAUCCAAGAAAAUAUUUGCCCCAUCGAAAACAAAGCUUUUUAGAGAAAAAAAUCUACGAAAAAAACUAUUUUUUGCAUUUUUUUACGUCUUCUACGACGUCUCCUAAUAGUAGACCACCACCAUUAUGCAAGGUACCUGAUGCCUCCGGAUCCAAACCUCCCCGUUAUUUUUCUUCUUUUUAUCGUCUUCUCCGACGAUGGUGGCAAUUAGGGCUUUGGAGGUGGUGGCGAUUAGAGCUUUGGCUAGAGUUUAGUAAUUUUGUUAAGCUAGCUAAGAUUCUAAAAUUUGCAAAAGAAGAAUCGGCUGGUGUGGAAUUGGCUAGGAGAAGUUGGCGGUGGAGGGGACGAGAAGUGCAGAGAAGGUGGGUGGUGGAAGGGAGGGGCGGCGGCUUGACGAGGUGAUUGCCGGUGAUGGCGGUGGGAGUUUGCCGAUGGUCGUGACAAUUUCAAAGGGGAAUAAGAAUUUUGGGGAAAGGCGCAAUUUUCUCUCUCUUGUCUUUUCUUUUUCAUUUUUUUAAUAAAAAAAUGUGUUUUAUUUCUUAAUUUAAGAAAUUUUAAAAAUUGCAAUUUGAACCAACGUUUAUGCAUUAAUUAAACUUAAAUUCAAUUCGAUUUUAUGUUUGGAAAAAUUACAAUUCAGUCCCCUAAUAUAAGUUUCAAAAGUUUAGUAAAAUUGCAAUUUGGCCUCUAUUAUAAAGCCCAAUCAUUUUUUUAUGUGGUUCUCCGGUCAAACUGUAGUCUGAACUCUGAACAAACUCAACAGAACAUAACAGAAAGAAAGAGAGAGCGCGCGAGAGAGAGAUUAAAAAUUUUUUACAUCAUUUUUCAAUUUGAUUCUCCGGCGCCGGCGCCGGCGCCGCCGCAGUCAUUGCUGUGAUCCCUGUCUGAACAUCGUUCCGACUCUGAUGGCAAUUAAAGAAGAAGGAAACUCGGAGGUACUGUACUAUCUCUUUUAUAUCCAUUUUUUUUCUUGCGAUCGAAUUCGAGGCAAGAAUCAUUCUUAAACCCUAAUUGCAUUUCGAUCCUCCUUCUUUAUUUAAAUUCCCCCUUUUUUUUCUGCAAUAGUCAGAUUCCUUCUUCAUUUAAUAUUGUUCGUAAAAUCAAAAUGAUGAAAUGUUUGAUCGAAUUGUAUUUCACCAUGUGCAGAUGAAUUGGGGAAAAUGCAAUAGUGUAUACACGAAUACCCGUACUCGACCAUACUAUUCGAGGAGAUGUAAAUCGAGUUUAACGAAAUUCGAUUCUCUUCCAGACGAAUUAGUUUUCGAGAUUCUUCUACUUCUCUCGCCUAAAGAUAUCCACAACGGGGCGAGGCUCGUUUGCAAGAAAUGGUACGAAACAGUCCACACCCGUAUUUUCAGAUACGAACACAUUCACCGUUCGACCGUCGGAAUCCUCAUCCUGAAAUCUUACUGCGAGUACCCCUUUUUCGUGGCGAUGCGUGAAGGCAGAGUCGAGGUAUCUAAAUUGAGGUACAAGUUCGGAAUCGAAUCAACUGUUUGGAGUAGUUGCAACGGUUUGAUACUCGACUUCGAUUCGAAGAAGCGUAAAGCGCUUUAUACUUUAAACCCUGCAACCAAACGUCGAUUCUAUCUCCCUCAAUUUCCUAGUCAAUGGGAAGACCACAAUUACUAUUAUUCCGGUAUAGCGUAUGCCGAGGCGUCGAUGGAGUAUAAAGUCGUUCGCACGUAUUACAGUUGCAGUAAACGAAACUGCGUUAUUUUGACCGUCGGAGUCGACGAGUCUUGGAGGAGUGUCGAUGCAGAACACUUGUCGGACGCAGCUAGAAAAUCUCUGAGAGAUAUUCCGUUAACUACCGAUGGUUUUGUUCAUUGGUUUGGCAGAAACGAUGUCGUAACUUUGAACGUAGAGACUGAAUUUCUCACCGAGAAUGCCGUUCCUCGAGGCUAUGGAGAAGGAUUGAAGUAUUAUUUGUCGAUGGGGAGUUCUUUGACUUCGGUCGUUGCUUGCAGUGAAUAUUCGUGGGAGGUUUUCGAGUUGAUACUAGAAACCGGAGAAUGGAGAAAGAUGUACACGAUUGACUUGGCGCGACAAAGAUGCAAAAUCGAACGGUUUGUCGGUGAAUGCUGUGGCACGCUCGUACGACCGAGUAACGUUGUCCUCAAACCAAGGGGUUGGUUAAACGAAGAGGUGUUGGUUUUUCAUGUAUAUCCGUCUCGGGUUUGCGUUCUCUACGGUGUCUGUACACGAGAAACUGACUUCUUUGAGUUAGAUUCCGAUUCGUAUUAUUACUGCUUUGAAGUUCAUAGGAACAGAUUCUGAUUCUGAUUGCUUCGUGAAUUUUUCCGUCGUAGGUUUUGAUCACACUGUAGCUAACGAUGAUUAGUGAUAUAAAUAGAAUUUUGGUGUGCUUGACAAGCAUUUGUCUGCAGGUUUCUCUUUGAAUAUUCUUGCUGACCUGGAUUUUGAUUCGGAUUUUACAUUGCGUAGACUAAUUACGAUUUCGGCACAACCAAUUCAAGAAAAUGUAAAAAUCGGAACUUUGGAAAUGAAAAUGAAAAUGUUCGUUCCCAAACUAGAAAUUUCUCCGAUCCAAAUCAUCAAAAUUCAGAGAUUCUAUUUUUUUCACCUAUAAUAAAAGCACAUAUUAAAAUUAUAAUUAUAAGUGAACUUUUUGGAAACAAAUCGAAAUUUAUGAAAAUAAAAAUUGCAUUGAAAAUCGGAAAUUGGUAAUCAAAAAUUUUGGAAAUUUUUUAAAACGAAAGAUUUUGGAUCAAAAUCGACGAAAAUCGCUGAUUUCGUUCCAUACUAAGAUAUUCAGCCUAUAUGGGCUUAAAGAUAAAUCGGAAACAAGGUCGAAUAUUUUGAGCUUCAGGCUCUUUCCUGUAUCAAACCGAAAAAAAAAGUUCGAAUAUUUUGCAAGAUCUCAACUUUAAGCUUUUUUCCUGGAACCCAUAAAAGCCCAAAAAUUCCAUUAAAAUGCUCAGAGUAUACACUGUAAUUUAAUUUCAGAAAACUUCCUAGAAAACUCCCAAAAUUUGAAUGUCCUAAAAAUUGCACGUUACCCCAUAUAAAUAACUAAUUUUCGCACUUUACCCCCUCGAAAUUUGGAAAUGUAAAUGUCCCCCUUCAAAAUGUUAUUCUUGUUGCACACUGGAAUUGCAUAUAUUUGUUGCACGUUGCCCCUUUAGAUGUUAUUUUUGAUAUAGCUUGCCCCUUAAAACCAUUAUUUUUCUGCACAUUGCAUCUUUAAAAUGUUACUUUUAUUGCACAAGGGCAAGGCCCAGCAAAAGUUUGUUUUUGGGGCAAAGUGCAACCAAAAUAAUAUUUUAAAGGGGGUUAUCCAUUAUUUUAAUUUUUAAGGGGAAAGUGCAAAAAUAAAAAUAAAAAAUUAUAGGGGGUGAUGUGCAAUUUUGUCCUUAUUUUGAAGCCGAGUCACUUUUUUGUGCGGCACUUCAGUCAAACCCUAAAGAAUUUGUUUUACAUAAUUUUACAUUGCGAUUAAUUUCCAGCCGCCGCGUCGGUCGACGCCACCACCACCACCGCCACCACCGCCGUUAACAUCUCCGGUUCUGAUGACAAAUAAAAAAAGAAACUCGGAGGUAUACAUAUUAUAUCCUUUUUACUUGAGAAUUACAAUUUGAUUUUCCGUUUUGUGCUCCAAAUAUUAAUCAAUGGCAUACUCGUAAAACUAGGUUUACUAAUUUGCCUAAUUUCCUGCAUGUAGAGACCAAAUUUCGUGCUUCAAUUCAAUCCAGAUAAAUUUCUCAAUAAAUAAACAAUCCGAUUUCUUCUGUUAAUACAGUUUACUAUAUUUGCAAAUUAGGGUUUGUAUUUCAUGUGCAUGCAGAUGAGUGGAAGCACAUUGAGUUGCGGGUAUGCGAAUUUCGGUAAUCGUCCGUAUUAUCCGAGGAGAUGUAAAGAUCGGAAGAGUUUUUCGACAAAUAUAGAGUCUCUUCCCGAAGAACUGUUGUUCGAGAUUCUUCUACUACUCUCAUCCAAAGAUAUCCACAAUGGGGCAAGACUUGUUAGCAAGAGAUGGUACAACAUAAUCCGUAACCCUAACUUCGUAAAAGCGCACCUUCGCAACAAUCCAUCGACCGUCGGACUUCUCAUCCAGAGUUACGAUGUGCCCGGGGAUCCAGCCUUUGUGUCACUGCGGCGAGGAAAAGUUGAGGUAUCUAAAUUGAACUACAAUUUCCCUCAAACAAUUUGGAGCAGCUGUAAUGGUUUGAUACUAGAAUUGGAUCUCAAAACACAAAAGGGUGUUUACAUUUUAAACCCCGAAACGAACUUUCGGUUUGAUCUCCCUCGAGUUAUUUGUGAACCGGACGAGCAUCUUGAGUAUUGUAUAGCAUAUUCCGCAGCUUCCAAGGAGUACAAAGUGGUCCACACGUCUUAUUAUACAAAGUACUAUGGUAUUCCCAAGCUACGAUACUGUGCUAUACUGACUGUCGGAGUCGACAAGUCUUGGAUGCACGUCGGUACACAACACUUAUCUGCCACAGCUAGAAAUCUUCUCACCGGUUUUCCGUUGGCUACCGAAGGUUUUAUUCAUUGGACUUCCAACGAGAGGCUACACACUCAUGUUCUGACUAUGAACGUAGAGACUGAAGUUAUUACAGAGAAUGUUGUUCCUCAGGGUUACGGAGAAAGCUUCGGGUAUUAUCUGCCGAUGGGGAGUUGUCUAACUUUGUUCAUUGAGCGCAGUGAAUUUUCUUUCGAGAUAUUGAAGAUGAAAUCAGAAACGGGAGAAUGGACUAAGUUGCCCAACGUUGACUUGGAAGGUCGAAGAAGCAGAAUCGAACAGUUUGUCAGUGAAUGUUGUGGGUCCCGCCAAGACGAACCUAGAUAUCUUAUACUCGAACCAGGUGGUUGGUUAGAUGAAGAGGUGUUGGUGUUGCAUGUUUCUCCAACUAGGGUUUUCGUUGUCUACAAUGUUCGUACGCAGGAAAUCGACUUCUUCAAGUUUGAUUAUGAUUCUGGUGGUUACGGAUUUAACGUUCUUAGAAAAAAAUUAUGAUUCUUGUUAUCGCAGGUUUUGAUAGAUCGUACUGCAACUAAUAGUAUCAUAAUGGGUCGGUUGUGUUAUUUCAAAAGGUUCCCCGGGGACUUUUUGCUAAUUUAUUUAACACAAUGGGUUUUCCACUAUUUCGACUAUUUUGAGAUUAACGCAUUGGUAAUUUUUGCAGUUUACUCUAAUAAAAAAAUGUGCCCUAGUUAUACACUAUUGACUAGCUCCAAUAUCAGAAGGAUUUGAAUAUCGAUCAAGAUACUAAUUGCAUUGAUAUAUGUUAUAUACUUAUCUUUCCGGUUAAUUGAGUUGGAUAACUUGGGAGUCAAGCAAGAGAGUUGACUGAGAAUGCUGAGUUGAUUCACUCGAGCUUCACGUUCACCGAAAGGAGAACGCGAGUAAUGUGUUCGUCUUUCCUACAAAAUAUGAGAUUUUGAUAUCUGUUCUAAUUUUAAUAUCCAUGAAUAAAUUCAAAAACUUUGAUUUUGUUUUCUUUUUUUUCUCAAAAAAAGUUACAUGUAUAAUAUCGACUCGAUAUUAUCAUGUGUUUCAUAGUAUUGGUGAAUAAUAUAUACUCCCUCCUUCUCCAACAAUUAAUUGAUGUUUAAGGAUUUCUCACACAUAUUAAGAAAUUCAUUAAUUGGUCUUUGAUCUGAUAGUGAAGUUCAGGAUCGCCCUUUUAUCAACGAAGGGGAAAUUUAAAACGUGAAAUAAAAGGGGAAACAAAUUAUUGGCUAAAACGACGAUUAAUUGAGGAAGGAGGGAGUAAUUAUUGGUUUGAAUUACGUGUGCUUCAAACCGCCGCCGGCUCGCCACCAACGAAGGGAUCCCAAUCUGGAAAUCUCUCCGACUCAGAAGAAAAAGGAAGAAGAAGGUAAUUCAGAUAUGUACUGUCUCUUUCAUAUUUCUUUUUUCUUGUAAAUUCCGGGCAAGAAUUACUCGUAAACCCUAAUCAACUUUUGAUUGUAGGUUUUGCCUCCCAAAUUAACAUACUUGUCAAGAAAACUUCUUCGACGCUACUAAUUAGCAAAAUCUUGAACGUUCCGAUUCCACCGGAUGAAAAGGCGAAAAUAAAUUUUGCUAAAGCUCAUAUCACUAGCGGAGCCAGAAUUUAAAGUCUGUGGGGCCGAAUGCAUUAAAAUUUUAUGAAGGGGGCGUUAAUGCUAUUAUACACAAUUUUUUUCUUUUCAAAUUUCAAUAUAAAAUAAUAGGGAUUUUGAGAAACAAUUCCCUAUGCAACUAAAUUUGAAGUUUCCUUCAGAACCGCCACCACCGCCACGGUCACCACCGUAACCGCCUCCACCACGGCCGCCGCCAUAACGACCUCCCUGACGACCCCCAUAUCCACAUGCAGUGUGCUUCGUAACACUUCGUAAAAAAAACAUAGAGGAGUUCUUGCUAAUUUUUUUAAUACGAGGCUUUUUCGGCCAUUCACAAUUAUACAGGGAGUUUUGUGCAAUUAGCUCUAAAAUUAAACAGAUAAUUUUGUGAAUUAGUAAAAACAGUCCGACUUGUAUGUUUAAAAGGGGUGAACAAGAAAAUGGUUAAUCGGCAAUAGAAAUAAAAUAUAGUUAUGCAUGAACCUUAGAAAUGUCGAUUUCAAUGCCUAUAUUUUCAUGUGCAGAUGAGUGAGCGCAAAUAUAAUUCCAUGAAAACGGAAAAGAAAGCCGUUAAUGAAUAUAGAGUCUCUCCUAGAGGAAUUGUUGUUCGACAUUCUUCUAGAACUCCCGUCCGUAGAUAUUAACAACGGGGCAAGACUUGUUUGCAAGAAGUGGUGCGAUAUGGUUCGUAGCCCAAAGUAUGUACAUGCACAUUUUCACAAUUCGACACAUGGCCUUGUCGUCCUGAGUAUUUACGAGAGAAUGCAUCCGAUUUUUUUGUCAUUUCAGAAAGACCGAGUCGAAUCAUCCGAUUUCAGUUACAAUUCAAAUGCUUACUGCAGGCUAGUUGCAAUGGUUUGGUAGUGGAGACCGGUACUAUAAACAUCCACACUCUUCACAUCGCAAAUCCUGCCAUAAACCAACGCGUUGCUCUGCCUCCAAUUUCUGUUGGACAAUCGAUAACCGAGUGUUUUUGUGGUAUAGCAUAUGCUGCAGCUUCCAUGGAGUAUAAAGUGGUUUGCACAUCCGAUUGCAUUUAUACGCCUAACGGGAAAGAAUGUGCUAUAUUGACUAUCGGAGUUGACAAAUCUUGGAGGCAUGUUCGGACAAAACAUUUAUCUCGUAAACAAUAGGCGACUUGAACGAUUUGAAAUUUGAAUAUCAAGAAAAUAAAAUGAAAUAACUUGUAAUUUUAAUAAAAAUAUGUCAUCUGACAUUUUUUUGUCAACAUGCUUCUAUGUGGCCCUGUCUAUACUAUGCUAUGCCGGGUGAAAUACCGGUAGAUGUUUACUUGGAGAAACAAUAAAAACAAAAUAAAAACGCUUCCGAACGUUGCUUAAAUGUGUCGCCUUGUUUAUAAAAAGGACAAAAUGCAACCCCCCUAAAUUUCCUAUUUUCGCACUCUCCUCCACCAAAAAACAAAAUUUCAAAAAAAGGAUACUCCCCCUCGAAAUAUUAUUUUGGUUGCACUUUGCCUCAUAAGCCAAUUUUUGGAGGGCAUUGUGCAACAAAAAUAACAUAUAUAUUAAAGGGUUAGCUUGCAAAAAAAUAGUGUUUUUAAGGGGCAAUGUGCAAUAAAAAUAACAUUUAAACGGGCAACAUGCAAUAAAAAUACUCAAUUCCAAUAAAUAAUCAAUCCGAGUUUUGCUAUCGGGGCAACGUGCAACAAGAAUAACAUUUUAAAGGUGACAUUCACUUUUAAAAAUUUUGAGGGGGUAAAGUGAGGAAAUUAGAAAUUUACGGGGGUGAUGUGCAAUUUUCCCUUAAAACGUGCCUCAAUUUCUGUGUCGAGCUAGACUGUAGUGUGCAGAAACUCGACACAGAAGAACAACUGAAGAAGAAUUACAUUUUCUUUUAAUCCGAAUCUGAAGUAAACUCCGAGGUAAUUAAUUUCUCUUUUGAUAUUGUGUUUUCUUCUUGUUAAUUUUGAGGCAAGAAUUACUCGCAAACCCUAAUUGCAUUUUGAUUUCCCCAAUUUGAUGCCCUAAAUUAGCUAAUUGCUCGAACUUUGUGUUUAUUCUUCAAUUGAUUUUAGGUUAGAAUGAGAGAAUGAAUGGCUGAUCGAAAAAUUGAAAUAGUUAGCCCUAGAUUUAAGAGGCAGAGUCCCAUUACUAAGAAUUUGAUUUUCCCUAAUUGCAUUUUGAUUUCCCCAAUUUGAUGCCCUAAAUUAGCUAAUUGCUCGAAUUUUCCCAAUUAAUUUGCCCAUAAUAUGUAUUCCAUCUUGUCCAGAUGGUUGGGAGUAAAUCGAAUUGCGUAUACGUAAACGGCAGUAAUCGCCCUUACUAUCACAGGAGAUGUAAAGGGAAGAUCAGUUCGACAAAUAUCGAGUCUCUUCCCGACGAAUUGGUUUUCGACAUUCUUCUACAUCUCCAGUCCGAAGAUAUUCACAGAGGGGCAAGACUCGUUUGCAAGAAAUGGUACAACACGGUCCGAACCCGUAAUUUCAGAUGCGCGCGCCUUCGCAAUUCAACAGUUGGACUUCUGAUUCAUAGUUCGGGCGACGAGCGUCCAAUUUUUCUGACACUGGAAAAAGGCCGAGUUGAGAUGUCGAAGCUGAGUUACAAGAUUCCCGGGAGAGUUUGGACUAGUUGCAACGGUUUGAUACUCGACUAUGAGGUUAUGAGAGACGGUAUAUAUCUUUUCACUUUAAAUCCCGCUACGAAGCGUUGCUUUGAUCUCCCCCCGUUUAUUAGUCGAUCUGAUUCAAGCUACGAUUAUUCCGGUAUAGCGUAUGCUGCGGCUUCGAUGGAGUAUAAAGUGGCUCAGACGUUUAGUUCUAGGCUUAGGUAUCCGUUUGUACGAGGCUGCGCUAUAUUGACCGUCGGAGUUGAUAAGUUUUGGAGGCAUGUCGAUACCGAAAACUUAUCCCCGAUCGGUAGAGAGAUUCUCCGAGGUAUUCCAUUGACUACUGAAGGUUAUUUUCAUUGGACUCACAGAGAAGGCACUCGGGUUUUGACUUUGAACGUAGAGACUGAAAUUAUUACAGAGACUCUUGUCCCGAAUGGGUAUGGAAAAAAAACGAAGUAUUAUUUGUCGACUGGGAGGUCUCUAACUUUGCUCAUUGCAUGCAGUGGAUUUUCGUGGGAGGUUCUGAAGAUGAAAUCCGAAACGGGAGAAUGGACGAAGUUGACCAAGGUUGACUUGAAAGCUCGAAAGUGCGAAUUCGAACAGUUUGUUAGGGAAUGUUGUGGGCCCGUAGUACAACCUAGUUCUCUUGUCAUCAAACCGGUUGGUUGGUUAGAUGAAGAGGUUUUGGUGUUGAAUGCUUUCCCAACUUUGGUUUGUGUUCUCUACAAAGUACGUGCGCAAGAAAUUGAGUUCGUUGAGUUAGAUUUUGACGACGACGAUCUCAACUUUCAAGUUCAUAGAAUCAGAAUGUGAUUCUUUUGAGUAGUUUCAACUUGUAUUUGGUUGUAUUAAAGCAACGUAAAUUUACUUGCACUUGAAAACUAAUGUUGUAUGUAUAAUCAAAAGAAAUUCAUGCUUCAAAUCAUCAAAAAAAAAAAAAUCAAAUAAAACACAAGCUUUCUUAGUACAUAAAAACAAAAGUUCUAUCUAAUUUAUUUAUCUAAUAAUAUAUCAUGAUAAUAAUAUUGGUGUACCGUUACUCUACCAAACAAAAUUGACCAAACAAAAUCGGUAUGGUACGAUAGGGCACUAUUACCGUCCGAUAAAAACUUUUUUGGUAGGAAAUCGGUUGGUGGUGCAUUUUAGAAAGAUAAUUAUUUGGGAAAAUUACGGCCACCCCCUGAUUUAAGGCCAAAUUACGAAAAAAACCAUCAGGUUUGGGUAAUUACAGGCACCCCUCAACUAUGUAUUGACUUACGAAAAACCCCCUAAGGUAAAUUUAGGGAUGUUAAUUGGGUAAUACCGAACCGAAAUUUCGGUACGCCAAUAUUUCAUACCGUUUACCGAACUGAAUUUACGAUUUGGUCCGGUAAAUAACUGAAUUACAUAAAUUAUAUUGAAAAUAUUUAAAAGAAUGAUGGGCUGUAAUUACCCAAAUAAAAGGGUUUUUUUCGUAAUUNNNNNNNNNNNNNNNNNNNNNNNNNNNNNNNNNNNNNNNNNNNNNNNNNNNNNNNNNNNNNNNNNNNNNNNNNNNNNNNNNNNNNNNNNNNNNNNNNNNNGUGCGUCUUCUGCUGCCACGUGUCUCUUUUUGAUAUUUUAUAAUAGAUUCCCCGCUAGGGUUUACCUUUAGGGGUUUAAGAAAAAUAAAAAAAAAGAUCACGUGGCAGCAGAAGACCCACCCGGUCUUUUUCACCGGGUGUAGCAUCGAAGGAACCGGCAAUCGGAGCAUCGUUCCGAUUUUGAUGAAAACUAAAGAAGGAAACUCGAAGGUAUCUUCUGAUUUAUUAUCUUCAUGUGGUGAACAUGUUCUUCGUCCUUUAUAUAAUCCCACUUGUUAAUUAAGCAGUUAAUAAUAUAUAUAUAACUAAAUAUUCAAUUAUUGAUUAUGUGAAAGUGAUAAAGAAUUCGAACCCCUCGAUUAUACAAGUGCACGGUUUUAUAAAAUUGCUGAUCGGAAUAUUGAAAAUUGUUUGUCUCUUGGAAUUGUAUUCCAUGUGCAGAUGAGUGGGUGCAAAAGAAACCAUGCAUGCGUGGUGAAUUACCGUAAUCGCCCUUACUAUUCGAGGAAAUGUAAAUCGAGAACAAACAUAGAGUCUCUUCCAGACGAACUGGUGUUCGACAUUCUACUCCGUCUCUCGCCCAAAGACAUUCACGAGGGGGCGAGGCGCGUUUGCAAGAAGUGGUACGACAUGGUCCACACGCGCGAUUUCAAAUGCGAAAAAACCUUCCGCCGUUCGACUUCCGGGCUCCUCAUCCAGAAAUCCAACCACGAAUAUCCGUUUUUUGUGGCCAUGCGUAAAGGCCGACUCGAGAUAUCUAAAUUGAAAUACAAGUUCCGAAUCAUAGGAACUGUUUGGAGUAGUUGCAACGGUUUGAUACUCGGCUUCGAUGGCAAGAAGCCGAAUGCUCACGCUCUCUACACUUUAAAUCCAGCAACGAGACGCCGUUUUGUUCUCCCUACAUCUUUUUGUCGGCGGGAAAACAAUUCCUAUAUCAACUACUAUCACUCUUGUAUAGCAUACGCCGAGGCUUCGAUGGAGUAUAAAGUGGUCAAAACGUGUACUUGUUACGACAGGAAUUUGCCGAUACACGUUUGUUCUAUAUUAACUGUCGGAGUCGACAAGUCUUGGAGGCACGUCUCCACCGAGCACUUGUCUUCCGAAGCUAGAGAACUUCUCGAUGAUAUUCCGUGCGCUACCGAAGGUUUCGUUCAUUGGGCUCAUGGAGAAAAAGGCACUCGUGUUUGGGGUCGUAGUUUGACUUGUGUUUUGACUUUGAACGUAGAGACUGAAGUUAUUACAGAGACUCGUGUUCCUGAAGGUUGUUAUGGAUCGAAAACAGUGAGCUACUUUUUGCCGAGGGGGAGAUAUCUGACUUUUCUCGUUGAGUGCAGCGAGUUUUCGUGGGAAUUUUGGGAGAUGGAAGCAGAAACGGGAGAGUGGACGAAGAUGCCCAAUAUUGACUUGGAAGCUCGUACGUGCGAAUUUGAAGAGUCGGUCCGUAAAUAUAAAUAUAGUAAUGUUGACCCGAGACCGGGCGGUUGGUUAAAUCAAGAGGUGUUGGUUUUGCAUAUUUCUCCGUCUCCGGUUUGCGUUGUCUACAAUGUCCGUACGCAAGAAAUUGACUCGUUUGAGUUCGACUAUGCUAAUCAAUAUCUCGUUUUUAAUGCUCAUUUAAACAGACCUUGAUUCUGGUUAUGGCAGCUGUUAAAGUUCAUGGAAAUAGCUUAGCAUUAUGGUUAGGUGAGCUUAGCUUUUUAACAGGUAUGGCUGCGUAUUCGACUAGAGAACAAAAUACACUUCACGGCUUAUAAAUUUUCAAUUUUUGCACUUUCCCCCCUAAAAAAUCAAAAAAGAGAUAACUGCCUGGAAUUAUUGUUUUAGUUGCAUUUUGCCCCAAAAGCCAAUUUUCGAUGUGCAUCGUGCAAUAAAAAUAAGAUUUUAAAGGGGCAAUGUGUAGGAAAAUAAUACAUUUUCAAGGGAAAAUUACGGCCAACCUCUUGAGGUAUGGCCAAAUUAGAAAAAAAAACCCUCUUGUUUGGGUAAGUACAGUCAUCCCCUCUUUUUAAAUAUUUUUACAUAAAAUUUAUGUAAUUUGAUUAUUUACCGAACCAAAUCGUAUAUUCAGUUCGGUAAACGGUAUGAAAUGUUGGCGUACCGAAAUUUUGGUUCGGUUUUACCGAUUUAACAUCCCUAAAUUUACCCUCUAUAAAUUUCUAAUUUUCACACUUUUCCCCCAUUAAAAUUUUUAAAAGUGAAUACCCCCUUCGAAAUAUUAUUCUUGUUGCACAUUGCCGCGAUAGCAACAUUUCAAUGGAUAAUUGAUCGGAAUUGAGUAUUUUUGUUGCAUGUUGGCCCUAUAAAUGUUAUUUUCAUUACACGUUGUCCCUUCAAAACAUUAUUUUUUUGCACAUUGUCCCUUUAAAUUGUUUUUGUUAUUUUCGUUACACAACGCGCUCCAAAAAAAUAGCUUAUGGGACAAAGUGCAAUCAAUAUAAUAUUUUGAAGGGGAAAUGUCCAUUUUUUUAGGGGGAAAAGUGGGAAAACAGAAAUUUAUAGGGGAGCAAAGUGCAAUUUGCCCUUAAUUAAAACAUGGAAAAUUUUAAAAUUGUGAUCAAUUUAUGUGCCGGAAAUUGAAUUAUAAAAAACUUAAUUGUGCGGCUUUGUGGUUAAAACUUAAAACAUCAAUUAACAAUCCAAUUUCUAUUCUUCAAAACUCACAUAAAAGAGCAUUAUAUAACUAAUCGGGAGCCGUCAACAAUCUGCCCCCAACGCCGUCCAAUCGCCGCCGCUGUCGCCGUCGCCGCCGCAGGAAAGGCACGCUAGUAGUCAAUCUGAGCAUCGUUCCGAUUCUGAUGGAAACUAAAGAAGGAAACUCGAAGGUAUUUUCUGAUUUAAUUAUAUUAUUUUUGCUGAACGUGUUUGUUUGAUUUUUCCAAAAUUUAUAAACCAACUAGCUUCGUGUGGUGAACAUGUUCUUCAUCCUUUAUAUAAUCCACUUGCACUUAAUAUUCUCGAUAUAUUAAUAACCUCGCUUACGUAAUAGUUUCCUCCGGACCCGACUCGGGUAAAAACCUACUAAAUUAUUAGUUCUAUAAUUUAUAGCAAUUCCGAUGAAAAAUACUCCAAAAAUUGUAAUUUGGGGCAAAGUGCAACUGCAACAAAAUUUCGUUUGGGGGAGAAUUUCCUUUUUGAAUUUGUAGGGGGGGGAAAGUGCAAAAUUUGAAUUUUUCUAGGGGGAACUUCGUUCCGGACCCGAUGGAAACUAAAGAAGGAAACUCGAAGGUAUAUAUAUCAUGUUAUUUAUCAUCUGAAAAGAUGAGUCAAAUACUGAGAACUUGUAUAUCAUCACGUGCAGAUGAUAUGUGGGGUCAAACGCAGUCGUGUAUAUGUGGAUCGCCAUAGUCGUUCGAGUAGAAGAUGUGAAAGGAAGAGUAUUUUGACAAAUAUAGAUUCUCUCCCGGACGACUUGUUGUUCGAGAUUCUUCUACAACUCCCGGCCGAAGACAUUCACAAAGGGGCAAGACUUGUUUGCAGCAAGUGGUACAAUAUGGUCCGAACCCGUAGUUUCAGAUACGAACACAUCCACCUUUCGACCACCGGACUUCUCGUACAUCAAUCUGAACGCGGCGAUAGAUUCUUCGUGGCAAUGCGUGAAGGCCGAGUCGAAAUUUCCAAGAUGAGUUACGGUUUCAAAGGGAGUGUUUCAGCUGGUUCAGGUUGCAGCGGUUUGAUUCUGGAAGUUGAUGUCGGGAAAAAAAGUAAACGGGUUUGCGCUGUAAAUCCUGCAACCGGGCGUCGUUUGGCUCUCCCUCCGUUUGUUUAUCAUAACUGGUCGGAAAACUACGAUUGUUUUGGUGUGGCAUACGUUGCUGCUUCAGUGGAGUAUAAAGCGGUUUGUACGUACUACGAUAAUUAUGUACAGCGGCGCGGUAUAUUGAUAUUGACCGUUGGAGUUGACAAGUCUUGGAGGCAUAUCGACGUCGAGCACUUAUCUCCCACAUCUAGGAAACUUCUCGAUUGUAAUCCGUUGACUACGGAAGGUUUCAUUCAUUGGACUCAUAAACACGGCACUCGUGUUUUUACUUUGGACGUCGUGACUGAAGUUAUUACCGAGACGCCUUUACCUCAAGGUUGUGGAGAAGGAUUGAACUGUUAUUUGUCAACGGGAACUCUUAUAACGUUAAUCGUUAAAUGCCGUGCAUUUUCAUGGGAAUUGUGGAAUUUGAAACCAGAAACGGGAGAAUGGACGAAGCAACCGAAUAUUGACUUGGAUCCUCAUGAGGGCAUAUUGGGAUGUUUGUUCUUUAGAUCUAUCAAACUAGGGGGUUGGCUAAAUCAAGAAGUAUUGGUCUUGCACGUUUCUCGAACUCGGUUUUGCGUUGUCUACAAUGUCCGUACGCGAGAGCUUGACCUCCUCGACUUGCAUUAUGCUUGUCAUUCUAUCAUAUGUAAUGUUUUUAAAAUCACCUUAUGAUUCUGGUUAUCAGAAGUUUAUAAUUCAUAGAAACAAAUUGGUGUUGCAUAUUUCUCCGACUCCGGAGUUAGAUUAUGCUUCCGAAUAUCACAGCUUUAAAGCUCGUAGAAACAUUCAAGGGCUGUUGCUUGGAAUUUUCUUUCGAGGUUUUCAUGAGACUGCAGCUUAGUAAUGUAUUCUGACUUUGCAGCUUAGUAAUAUAAACAUAUACGAAAACCCCCUUAUUUGUCCAUAAUUACAUCCACCCUGUAAUUUGUUGAUUUCUUACAUCAAUACCCUUUUAUAGAGGAUGGACGUAGAAAUUUACAAAGUGCAAGGGACUGGAUCCGGAUUUAUUUGAUGUUACAUUUGGUGAAACACAUUAAUUUUUAAUUGUUGAUCCACAUACAAUCACACGCACACACAUGUGUAUGUUUGAUUAGUGAGUGAUUAUUUAACUCCAUCAAUGAUUAAAAAUAUCUUUAUUUGAUGUUACAUUUGGUGAAACACAUUAAUUUUUAAUUGUUGAUCCGCACACAAUCACACGCACACGCAUGUGUAUGUUUGAUUAGUGAGUGAUUAUUUAACUCCAUCAGUGAUUAAAAAUAUACUUAUGUAAAUGACCUGGUGUAACAUCUAAUAAUCACUCCGAUCUAAUAAUCACUCCGGGUGUAAUGUCAAAUCGACCAAUAAUAACUAAUGAAAGGAAAAAUGAAAUAAGUUGAAAAUUAAAAAUACCAAUGAAGAGGUUCCUCAUCACCUAAUAAAGUUUUGGGUAAAUUACAACCAUCCCCGAGUUAUGGUCAAAUUACGAUAAAAAAACCCUCAUGUUUAAAUAAUUGCAACUAUCCCUCAAUUAGGAAUUUUCUUAAACGCACACCUUAUGGUGUCAAAUCCGACAUACUCUUCUAGAUUUCGUGGAAUGUUAUCUAGUUUGUACUCGUUUUGUGCAAAAAUGUAGUUUCUGGUGCACCACAAUCUGAUAUAUACAAGCCAAAAAGCACAUCUUAUGAUCGUCUUGCUUCAAAAUAUGGAGCUUGAAUGGGAUAAAACGGAUAUAAAAUUGAGAAUAUUCCAUAUAAUCUAGAAGAUUCCACUAAAUUUGACAUAGCAAAUGUUGACGUGUAAGAAAAUUUAUAGCUGCGGGGUGAUUGUAAUUACCCAAAUAAUAGGAUUUUUUUUUCGUAAUUUGACCAUGUCUCAUGGGUGGUUGUAAUUUACUCGUAAGUUUUAUAUAUCUCUCAAAAAUAAAAGUUUUAUAUAAAUUGAAUAAAAAUUUACUAAUUUUAUAAAUUUGAAAUAAAUUGAUACUUUUGAAGUCCAUAACGAAAGCCCAAUACAUAGUUGAAUUAUUAAGCCCAAUCUCUGUCUGGGUUCUAAGGCAAUCAGCACUUGUAUAUAAGUCAGAAAGAAAACCAUCAGAAAACAUUUUUUAAUUUGUCACUUGGAUCAGUCCGCCCGCCGCCACCGCCACCGCCGCCGCCGCCGCCGCCGCGUACGAUCUCAGGGAUGGCCCGCUGAUGGUGGAUGUCAGUGCAUGCUUCAAUUGAGUUCAGUCAGCCGCCGCCGCCCUCCGCCCGUGAGUGAUUAAUCCCAAUUUGAACAUCAUUGCGACUCUGAUAAGAAAUUGAGAAGGAAAUUCCGAGGUAACAUCGUACAUUCAUGAUUUUUUAUCUUUUCUUUGAGAAUUUCAGACAAGAAUUACUCGUAAAACAUGUUUUGCCUUCCGAUCUAAAACGAUUUCAGAGCAAUUUUUUCAUGCCACCGGAAAACAUAAAGUUUUGAGCUUUCUGAUUACACACGAAGAACAGUUGUAUCCGUGAUGAAUGUAGAUAUAAAUUUUGCUAAGCGUCGAAUUUUUUUUUGUGUGUUAUUUUUCUGCAAUGAUCACAUAUAAAUUUGGGUAAAUUACGAAAACCCCUGAACUUGGGCUAAAUAAUGAAAAACAACCCCACUUAUCCGUAAUAACCAAAAU
rnacentral:lncRNA from 1 species